rnacentral:lncRNA from 1 species
AUUUUUUUGUAGUUUAUAGGUACUUAUCUUGAGAAAUAUUAAUGUUUUUUAUGGCUUUUUUGGUUUCCUAUAAAAUACUUUAUCAUUCUAAAUUAUAUAUAUAUAUAUAUAUAUAUAUAUAUAUAUAUAUAUUUAGCUAUUGUUGGUAUUUCUUAAUAAGUUUGUAAAUAUAAUUUGACCUAUUAAAGAUGGUACCAAAUUAUAUAAUGCAAUUGCAUUAUAUUUUGUCAUUGGCUUUACAUUUGCUAAAACUAUUGAUAGUGAAAAAAAAUAUUGGUUGCAACAUAUAUAUAUAUAUAUAUAUAUACAUAUAAAAUUUGAACUGAAACAAUAGUUAGUAAAUCUCUUCAUAGUGUGCUAAUAUUUACAAAAUAGUCACUUGUUUCAAAUAGAUUUUAAAAAAAGGAAAUAUGACUUUAGAAAAGUAUGCAAUAAUUCCCUACUAAUAACUUAAACUAACUUGAAGGACUCCUAUUGGUACAAGUGGAACUUUCAAGAAAUUUGGACUUUUGUAAGCUUGAAUUUAUAACAAAAAUGAAAAGAGGAGUAGAAGAAGGGAUGAAUGAUUUAAAAAAAAUAAGAAAGGAUUAUGAAAAUUAAUUGGGUUUCAACAACCUUUUUAAGCAAUGUAGAUAAUAUUGUUUUAAGAAUUUGAUUUAAAAGUCAUAUUUAUGAAAAAAAAUUGCUAGCAUGUGAAUUUGCAUUACAACAAGUUAUUAAAAAAUGUUAAUAUUUUAUAUUUUCGGUGUAAGAAUAGAUCAUGUAUUUUAAAAAUAAAAUACUUAUUUGACAAAAACAUGAAAUAUAGUUGAUAAAUUUUAAAUCAAUCAAAGGAUUUAUUUUAUUAUUUUAAUAUGAAUUGAUUGUAAACCUCAAAAGUCUUAUAUUCUUUAUUUGAUCAUUAAUAUUCAUAUUAUUUAAGAUCAAAUAAUAAAAUAAUGAUUGUCAAAAUUUUAAAUUUGUUGCAUAUUUAUUUUAAAAGUAAUAAUUUAAUGAUUAAUUACUGCAAAACAAAUAAGCUUCAAGAAGUUUUCAUAUAAUUUUUAAUUUAUAAUGAAAUUUUACUUUAUAAAUAUAUAUAUAUAUAUAUAUAUUGUUAUCAGUGCAUAUGGUUGAUUACAACUAGCUUUCUAUAAAGAAAUUGAUGCAUAUGUUUUUUUUUAAUGAUUUUUUCCAUAGACUCUUCCAUUUAAAUUUUAUUUUUUAAUUAAAUAAAAUAGUUGGUGAAUUAUUUUGUUUAAAUCAUCUGAAUGUAUCUUAUAAUAAAUUAGAUUUUACCUUUAAAUUUAUAUAUUUUUUGAAAUAAAAAUCAAAUUUUAGUUGAUUAUUUAGAUACAUAAGUUAUUUAUCUAAACAUAGGAUAUUGUUAAUGCCUCCAAAAAUUUUGCUACUGCCAUCACAAUCUUCCAUUCAUCACAUACUACCUACACCCUUUGUCAAUGCUAUCUAGCUAUAAAUCUACAUAUAUAUAUAUAUAUAUAUAUAUAUAUAAAUAUUCAUUCACACUUGCACAAAUUUGCGUUAAUAAGGCAACCCAACAAACUCACUAAAAUGAGCAAUGUAAGGUCGAAUCCUUUGCCAGAGAGUCAAGGACCGUGCCACAUCAGCUCAACACUUCGCCCACGUCAGCCACUCUCAAGGAGGGCCACGUCCUUCUCCGCAUCUACCAUAUACGCAAUACCGCCCGCGUCGAAGCGUAGACUCUUGAAAUGUUCAUAACGCGUAAUUAUACCGAAGAGUCUGGUUUUUGUGAAGCCUCCUGCUCCUUCUGCUCCAUUGCAAAGCCAAACCCUUGCAGCAGCAGCUCGAAACCCACGAUCUGGCGAUGGUUUGAUGUGCUUGCAAUCCCCUUCGACCACGCUGAUAAGCUCCGCCCCCUGCUGCUGCCUCUUCAUUCUCAAGUGGGUUUCCGUUUAUUUUCCCGCAUUCUCUAACUUGCAGUGUGUCGUUGUUUUUGAAAGUGUUGGUAGUUUUGCGAGGUCAAUGGUGGAAACCUUGUGUGCGGGAAUUUGGAACUUGGGUGUGGAAUUGAAUUAGAGUGUUUUUUUGUUUUUUUUUUUUUCGUGUGUGAAGGAUAAGGGAAGAAAGAAUCGGAGAGGAGUUUUUGAAGCUAUGACGAUGGGGUCAUCCCCUGCUGCGACAGUGUUGGUGCUUGUAAUGUGCUGCUUGCUGUGUGGAGGAGGAGCUGCUGUGGAGGGAGGGCUCAUUGUGGAGCUCGUGACGCCCUCGGUGUCCCUUGGAUCCGAUGCGCAGAAGCUUCAGGUGUCUGUGACCUCGUCCGAUGGGUCGCCUGCUCCCGCUGCUACAGUGGCACUCGCUUCCGUUCACUCUGUCGCGUCUGAUUCUCCAGUUUCGAUCUCCGAGCAGAGCUUUGCAUCUAUUGGAGAUGGUAAGUAUGAAUUGGGGCUUUCGUCAAGUGACCUCUUCUUGGGGAAGUACAAGCUCCGGAUUGAUGCAUCAUCGGACGAUGAUAAGGGUUUCCUGGACACUGUGAUUGCCGUGACUGCCCCCAUUUCGGUGUCCAAUGUGAAGGUUGGUGUAGUAGAGGGCGAUAGCGUCCUCCCUGAGUCGGAUGCUAGGUUAGAGUUUAAGCAGACGACGACAUUGUCGGCAACCCACUUACAGAAGCUCAAACUCGCAUUUGAGGUCAGUGGUCCAUCCGGUGCUCUGUUCAAACCCCAGCAGGUUAUGCUGAAGCUGAGAGGCGAGAGUGGCGUGGAGCAGACUUUCCUCAUCAAAUCUUCGACAGGAAACUCUUACGAGCUCACUUUGGACUUCACAAAGUUGGUGGAGAAGCUGAACCACCAAUCGGGUGUUUAUACUGUUGACCUAAUCGUCGGUGACGAUGUCAUGGAGAACUCAUUUUUGUGGACUUUGGCGUCUUUGGAUCUGGACUUGCCAGAGGGCCCUGAAGGAGCAUCAUCCGCACCCGUCUCCAAAUUUGGUCCCAAGCCUGAGAUUUCUCACAUCUUCCGUCAGCCCGAGAAGAGGCCUCCGACGUAUCUCUCGAUGGCGUUCUUAGUUCUGACCUUGCUCCCACUUGUAGGGUUCUUCGUCGCCCUCCUGCAACUUGGCGUCAACCUAAAGAAUCUUCCAUCCGGCGGAUUGCCGCUAGCUGCCGCUGCUGGGUUCCACGGUGGUAUUGCAAGUAUCCUGGUUCUGUACCUCAUGUUCUGGUUGAAGCUGAACCUAUUCACGACGUUGCAGGUGCUUGGAUUCCUAGGUUUGUUGACUCUCGUGCCUGGGUUUAACAUUCUUUCCUACUUGGCAAACCUUUCGUCAGCUUCCAAAGUGAAAACGUCGUAGUGACACUGCCGCUUAGUUUUGGGCGUAUGGAAGUGGUUCAAUGGACACGUGUUGGAUUUAUUGUUGCCUAAGAUUUAUACUUUGAGCCCAGUUUUGAUGCCUUGUAGAUCACUAUCUGUAAUUUGGAGCUCUUAGAAAAAGUACAGAGGACGUGCAGUUACUGCUUACCUUGCGCUCCCUGCCUUCAUAUGCCCUGUCCCUUCCUGGUAAAAUGGAAUAGAAUUUGUCAACUUCAGAGCAGUAACACUCGUUUGAAUGCAUACCUUGAUUGCUAUGUUUCAAUUGACUGGGUGCUUUGUACAUGUCGUGACUUAAUGAUCCGAGGCUGCAACAUCUAUUUUCGCUAUUCCAGAAUAAUGCAAAACGCAGGAAUGAAGUGUGGCUUUUUAAUGGUAUAUCAGCCAUUAGAAGGUGGGUGUGAUUUGUGGCAUUUGAAAUGCUUCGACAAUGUGGCAUUUGAAUUGCGGUGCAUUGAAGCUGGUAACUAAACAUGAGAGUCGAGCUCUCUUGUCCGUGUAGGACUAGACACAAUUGUAACUUUCAAAGGUGGGAGUUCACUGGAUAUGGGAUUUUUUUUUCUUCUUUUUCCAAAGUUAAUCCUGCUGAUUCAAACUGUUGUUGUUGUUUUUGUUUAUAUAUAUAUAUAUAUAUAUAUAUAUAUAAAUAAUAUUUUUUAUAAUUUUUAUAAUUUUGGUUUUUGAUUUUUCUUGAUGUUAAUGACCAAAUACCUCGGAGUGCCUUCGCUUCUAUAAUUCGUCAUCAUCUCUUUCGAUGGCCAUUCCAUACGAUUUGAAAGUGGUUAAAUGUCUUUUUAUUUAUUUUUGAUUUAUUUAAUUUUUUGUUACUCCAACAUCCAGAAUUUGACAACAUAACUAAUUUGUCAUUGUAUUUUUAGUGUUAAUAUUAAUGAGCAUUUGGGGUAGGGCAGAGUAGGUCCAAUUAUUGUAAAGUGACAAGCAUUGCAAUAUUCAGAUUUUGUAGUUGUAAAAUUAUUUUGUAUGUACAUAAUACAAUAUAUGAAGCUUAAAAAUGGACAAACCAUAACAUUGGCAUGUUGUAUGGACAACUUAUAUUGUUUGAAAUGUAAGGUGGCAACAAGGAAAGUGACAAAUGUAACAGUUUCAAGUGAAGAUGGAAGAAUGUUGUAGCAUCAAUACACUGGACACUUGAAUAUACAAAGCUUGAUUGCACUUUUGGAGGUUGUAAAUAGGAUAAAUCUCAGCCACCAACUUGAUUUUAGACCUUUUAUUUGUGAGCAUUGUUUGUAGGGGAAAAAAAGAAAAGAAAAAGUAAGAAAAGAUGUUUAUUCCAAAAUGCCAAAUGUGUAUUUGAAAGGUAUUAGAAAUGUAAAUAAAUAAAAUCUUCAUUUUUAUUAUUAUUUUGAUAUUUAUUUUAAAAUUAAAAUAUUGUAUUUAUUAAAAAAAUAUAUUUCACUUGUCAAAUACAAGAGUAGAUUAUUACAACUUUUAUAAGUAUUAAAGACUAAAUAGAAUAAUUCUAUUAAAUAAUUAUUUUUUUACUAUUGAUAUCAAUACUACUAAAACAACAUAGAUAAACAAAAAUCUCUACAAAAAUUAAUUUAAAUAUUAUUUAUACUCUUAUUACAAAUAUAAAAAAAAAAGUAAUAAAAGACAAUACUUUAUACAAGCUAAUGUCACUCUAAAUAUGAUGAUAUAUAAUUUGGAAUUACAAAUGUCUUUAUAAUCUUUUAUCAUAUAAAGUGUCAAAAUAUGAGUUUGUAUGGUCUGGUUAAAUAAUGAUGAAUUUAUGUACACUUUAGAAGAUUAAAAUGAAAUUAAGAAUAAUAUAUUUUCAAAACAAGAAGUUGCUAGAAGUACUAUUGUUAAGUGCAAAAGAAAAUUUAAGAUUCAAAAGAUAAAAUUAGAAUAUCUUAAAUUGAGAAUAGGAUACAAAAAUAGAGUUGAUUAAAUUGAUGAUGGUCUCAAUCUUAUUUCUAUGUAUACUAGUUAAUAAGAAAACCAUGUAAAUGCUUUGAAGAAGAGUAAGACUCAUAUAUUGUCUAAGUUGUAGAGUACCUUCAUAGUUGCAUUCAACACAAAUAUUUUUUUUGAAAAUACUUUUAUAGCCACAUGCUAUAUUUAAGUAUUCCUAUAGAUUUACCACAUGUCUAAAAGUUUCUUUAAUUCUUUUUUGACUAUAAUUCUUCGUAAUUUACAAAUAUUGACUUAUUUCUAUUCAUUUCUAUUUUCUUAAGUAAAAUAGGUGUCUAAAAUAAUAUUAUAUAACCAUGUCCAAAUUAAACUUAUUACUAUUUAAGUUGGAUUUUAAAUAAGCAUAUGAUUUAAUUAUAAAAGACUUUAUACAUAAAGCUAUUGUGGCUUUAGAUUCUUGUACUAAAUUCAUGGAUUCAAGAAGGCUAAUAUUUACAUAUAUUAAAUCAAUGGACAUUGUUAAUAAAAGAAAACUUACUAAAGAUUUGAAAUUCAAAAAAAGAUAAAUAAUAUAUUUCUUACUAGUAAAAAAAUCUAUAAUUUAAUUAAUUUUUAAAAAUGAUAUAAAAUAUAAUAAAAGAAUUAAUCUCUAUGAAGAAAAUAUAGAAUUUAGUUAACCUAUAUGUAAUAUGUCUUUUAUAAAGACCUCAAAUAAAUAAAUGAUAAAAAAAUAAUAAUAGAAUUUUGUUUUGAAUAAUUGAAACCAAUAGAAUAAUAUAACAUAUAAACAAGAAAUAUGAUCUUAUUUGAAAUAAAAUGAAUAACUUAGAAUAGACUCAUCAAAAAUGAAAAUUUUCUUGACAUAAAAUUCCAAAAAUAUCUAGCAAAUGCCUUCAAAAGCUUGCUAGAAUAUGACUUAAAACCAAUACAAUAGAACAUUACAUAAAAAGAAUCAUGUUAAGUGGAACUACUCCACUCCAAUGUUUGUAAUUCUUCCUCUAAACUACUUACGUAUAGCUUUGAAUCACAAACUUGAAGCCACAAUGUCAAAAUCUUAUUUAUGUAAUGCAUGAAACAUUAGCAAAAUAAUACACCUCUGUAUGUUUCAAAAAGGAUCAUCAUCUCAAGCUUAGAGUUGUGCCCAUUUCUGCCACGGUCAAAAUUGUUGCAAAAUGCCUGAAUUUCAUGUGAAUCCUAGCAGCAUCAACUUGAUUUACUAAGGGAGUGAUUAGUGAAAAAUGAGUUGUAAAUUAGCACAACGGAUGUGGAUUAUAAGUGGUAGUCAAUUCAAUGGGAGUGAGUUACGUUUGACUUAGGAACUUAAACAUUUAAGUUAACCAUUUUAAGCAGGGAGUUGUCAGAAUUGACAUGAAACUAUGUGGAAUUGGCACUUCUUCGCUUCUGCAUUCGGUAUUUUGCAGCUUCUAAAUGGAUACGACGAAUGCUUUUCAUUCAUAUGAACUUCUAGACUAUGUGCACGAAAAUGCAUCCACCUUGAUGCUAAUCUAUUUCGAGCUAGUUUCUGUGAGAAGAUUUGAGAUCUGUUUUGUUUUUGUUGAGAAUGUUUAGAAAGACACAAGAGUAAUAGUAAGUCAUACACACACACAAGAGUAGUAGUAAGUCAUACACACAAGAGGGUUUCUAAGGAGAGAGAGCUUCACACACAAAAAUCUAUUGAUCUGGUUGUGUCUCGUAUACAAGAAGAGAAAAAGGAGAGAUGAUAAACAAUACUUCUCCACUAGACUCUAAAUACUGUAGCUAUAGUAUUUACUGUAUUCUACAAUAAAUAUUGUGGAGAGCGCCGGCCAUAUUUAAUUAUCUCAACACUCUUCCUCGCUCAUUAUAAUAUUUACAUAAUAUAAAAUUUGUAUAGAAUUAUGAUUUAUACUCUUCUGUGAUCUUGCAAGAUUAACAAUUGUUGCCUCAUUAAAACCUUAUCUAGGAAAACCUUAUUUUAUUUAAAGACAAAACCAUAGAUGAAGGAAAAAGAAUACAACAUCAUUUUCUUUAAUUAUUUAAAGAGCUCAAUAAUUUUCUUAUUCAAGAAGAGUAAGUCGCCACAUAUCAAUGCCAUAAGUAAGUCGACGAUGGUUGCUUAAUGGAAGAGCUUUGGUAAAGAGAUCAACAAGGUUAUUUGUAGAUUCAAUUUUCUUAAUUAUAAGUGCAUGAUCAGUAAUCAAGUCAUGGAUAUAACUAAAAUACUUUCGAUCAAUAUGCUUUGUCUUAUCGCCUUUAAUGAAACCAACUUGCAUCUGUGCAAUACAAGCACUAUUAUCUUCAUGCAAGAUAGUUGAAGAAUCAUCAUAUGAAAAUCCAUAGGUUGUUUGAAUGAAUUUAUCAAUUGAUCACAACCAAAUACAUUCUCGAGAUGCUUUAUGUAAGGCAAUAAUUUCUGCAUGGUUGGAUGAAGUUGCAGUCAUUGUUUGUUUCACUGAUUUUGAUGUUAUUGCAGCUCUAUGUCUUAAGAAUACAUAUCAUGUUUGAGAUUUAGCUGUUGCAAUAUCAGAUUUAUAUCCUGCAUCACAAUAUCCAACGAAUUUUGGAUCUGCGGAUUGUGUAUAGUAUAAUCCCAAGUCUUUAGUACCUUUUAAAUAAUGUAAUAAAUAUUCGAUGCCGUUCCAAUGUUGUAGUGUUGGAUGUGCAAUAUGUCUUGCAAGAACACUAAUUGCAAAUGCAAUAUCUGGUCUUGUAGAUGUAGCUAAAUACAAAAGUACUUCAACUGCUGCGAGGUAUGGAUAUUGAUCUUCCAAUAUUUCCUCCUCCUCUUCGCAUGGGCGGUAUGAAAAAUGACCAUCACGACCACGUCCAACCAUUGGUAUGGACAAUGGAUAAGCAUCAAUCAUAUUAAAUCUUUGCAAGAUUUGUCUAAUAUACAUUAGUUGGUAGAGAAAAAUGCUACCAUCUGUUAGAUGCAUAAUCUGAAGACCAAUACAAAAAGUUAUUUUUCCUAGCAUUUUCAUCUCAAAUUUACAUAUAAAUAGGUUAGUAGCUGUAACACAUGCAGAUGUAAUGCCCACAAGAUUAGGAUCAUCAACAUAUACAACGAUGAACACAAAACAAGUUUUAUCUCAUUUGAUAAACAAACAAGGGAUUAAUGGAUCACUUAUAAAAUUAUUUGUAAUUAAAUAAUCUCGAAGAUGUUGAUACCACAUGCAUUUGGAUUGUUUUAAACCAUACAAGGCCUUACAUAAUUUAAUACUCGGAUAUUGUCCUAGAGCAGGUCGAUUUGGAGUUCCUGUUUCUAAGCCAAGUAGAACUUUCAUGUAAAUAUUUGCAUCAAGAGAACCAUAUAGAUAUGUAGUUACUACAUCCAUCAGAUGCAUCUCAAGGGUGGCAUGAACUGUCAUUCCAAUAAUAUAUCGAAAUGUAAUUGAAUCCAUGGCUGGAGAAUAUGUGGAUUCAUAAUCAAUGCCAAAUUGUUGAGUAAAUCCUUGAGCAACAAGAUGAGCUUUAUAGCAGGUUAUUUGGCCUUAAACAUCUUGCUUGCAUAUUAAUACCAUUUUAUAUCCCACAGGGCGAGAUGUAUGAGUGUCUACAAUUGGACCAAAGACUUUCUUCUUGCGCAAAGAGGCAUACUCUUCCUCAAUAGCAGUUUUCCAUUUUGACCAAUCUGAGCGACGUAUUGCCUCUUGGAUGGUUUGAAGUUCAGGAUCAUUUUCCUCGCAAGAAAGGGCUUCUAGAAUCAUAUAUGCAAAUGAUUCAUCUACCAUAAUAGAUGGUCUAUCCCAAAUAUCAUCUGUAAUAUAAUAUAAAAUAGAUAAUUCUUUACUCAACUUGUUCUUAUUUCUCCCAAUUCCAAGCUUAUUUUUCAUAGGAAUUGAAGGUACAUUAUGCAUGGAUAUAUCAUCAUGAAUUGGUAGUCCUCCAAGAUGUGUGGAAAUUUCUUGAGAAAUAAUACCAGGAUUAGUCAAUUUUAUAGCUUUCUUCUUUCGUGGUUGCUUAACUAGUCCAUGAGUUCUUUUAGUUGUUGUUGUUAUAACUUGAGGUAUUGUAGUUAAUGGCACUGCAAUCUGAGCAAGUGCAUUCUAAGCUUCAUUGAUAGGAACUCUUAUAAUUCUAGGUGCAUCAUUGAAGCCAUCAGGUGUUUCAUCUGCAAUCUAUUUUAGAUGCAAAAUCUUAGCAACUUCAGUUUCUGCCAAAGAUGUUAUAAGAUCGGGAUUCAUUAUAAACGUUUCUUGUGCUUCAAAUAUGAGUACUUUAUUUCUUUGUUGAAUGGAUAUUCUUCCUUGAAGAGAUGGGAAUACAUUUUCUUCAAAACGGUAAUUUUGCAAACGUGCACGUAAUAAUGUGCCAGUUGAUGGAUCAACAAUACGAAUAAUGCUUGGUGAAUCAAAACCAACAUAUAUGCAUUCUUGUCGAUGAGCUCCAAUAGUACGCCGUUGAGGUUUUGGUACUGGAAUCCAAGCACGGCAACCAAAUACUCAUAAGAGAGAUACCUUUGGAACACAAUCCAAAAUGAGCUCAUGUGGUGAAAAAAUUUCAAGAGAAGAAGGGUGGAGGCGUAUUAAUGCAGAAAACAUGUAAAACUGUAUGACCCCACAUAGAUCCAGAUAAAUAUGCAUGAAGGAGGAGUGGCCAGGUAAUGAGUUGUAUAUGCUUUAUAAAUGACUCUGCAAGUCCAUUUUGAGCAUGUUCAUAUGAAACACAAUAUGUUAACUCGAUUCCUAUUACAAUACAAUAGUCUUCAAAAGACUUUGAUGCGAAUUCUUUUGCAUUAUCCAUAUGCAAUGUUUUUAUAGGAUAAUCAAGAAAAUGUAUCCGAAAGCGAAUAAGCAUAGAUAUAAGAUUAGCGAACACCAUGUUUUGAGUUGAUAAUAAUGAAACAUGUGAUUGUUUACUUGAUGCAUCAACAAGGACCAAAAAAUAACAAAAUGAUCAUGAUAUUGGAUUAAUAAGACCACAAAUAUCACUAUGUAAUCUUUCAAGCGUUGGUGGUAAUUCUUGUGGAAGUUUCCAAAUUGUAGGUCGAGUAAUCAUUUUAUCUUGCAUGCAUGCACGACAUAAUUCCAUAGAAUCUACAUCUGCAGGCUUUAAAUUGUACCUAGUUAUACAUGGAAUGAUAUUUUUAAAUAAUGUGGAUCUUGGAUGUCCCAAUCGUCCAUGCCAGAGAGAAAUACGACUCUUUGAAAUAGAUGAUGCAAAAUUAAAUAUAAUGGGAGGCCGAAUCACAAUUCGGUAUAAACCAUUUUCUUUAGCAAAAGCUUUUUCAACAACUUUAUGGUUCUUUGCAAGAAUCAAAACCUCUUUUCUAUUAAAAGUGGCGGUCGAGAGAUAAUAACCAUUAAUACACAGAUCUUGGUAGCUGAUUAGACUCUGAAGUGUUGAGGGUGCAAACAUCGCAUGUUUAUAUUUUAUGAUGGAACCCGCAGGUAAUUUUACCAUCGUUGUGCCCUCUUGGAAACAAAACGCAUUUGCUCCAGCCACGGUCAUCAUAUUUUCAUUUUGCCAAGUUGAAGAUUUUUCAAUAAAAAAUCGUCUAUCUUACAAGAUAGUAUGUAUUGUUGUAGAAUCAAUGAGUACAUCAUUUGAUUCAUCAUGAGAGGUUCUAUCAUUUAUAUAAGCCUCUAAGUCAUCAACAUCAAUUGAAUCCAUGGAUGCAUCCAUAGUAUGAACUUCACGAGCCUCAGCUCGCAAUUUCUUAUUUUCUUAGAAUAUUUUAAUAAAACAUUCUGAAGUACGGCACGCAUGUACUAAAUGUCCAAUCAUUCCACACUUAUAGCAAGAACGCAUCUCUGAUUUUUGUUUUCUACUAUAAUUAAUAGUAGAACGUUUAUUCUUUCCAUAUAGGUAGAAAUGGUCAUGACUAUGACUACCAUAAUACUUAUGAGCACGUUUUCCAUGUUUAUAUAAUUUCUUCUUAGACUUUGAAAUAUUAAGUGCAUGAGAUUUUGGAACUGUAGUUCUAAUAGGACGAGCUUCCGCAUUGCACAAGAGUAAUUCAUUUUGCUUCUCCACAAGAAAUAAAUAGAAUAUGAGAUCAGAAUGACUCUGAAAUUUCAUGUUCCUGUAUUGUUGUGCAAGCACAAUAGAUACAUGAAGAAAUAUAGAGAGAGUUUUCUCAAUCAUUUCUUCUUCAGAAAUGCUUUGUUCACAUAAUUGUAAUUGUGAGACAAUACUAUACAUUUCACUAUUGAAAGCAUUUAAAUUUGGAAAAUCCAAGACACAUAAAUGUGUCCAAUUAUGAUGUGCAUGUGGAAGAAAAAUGGUCUUUUGAAGAUUAAACCUAGAUUUAAGAUUCUUCCAAAGUUCUCCAGGAUCUUCCAUUUCCAAAUAUUGAUGUUGUAAUACAGCUACAAGUUGACGACGAAAGAGAAGAAGUGCUUUCCAACGAAUAGUAGGAGGUAUAGAAAUACUUAUUGUAGGAGAUUCUUCAAACAUAAUGACAUCCGAGAGUUGUUCUGCAAAUAAGUUUGCUUUUGUCAUUUUUUCCCAUAAUAGAUAAUUGUUUCCAUCCACAGUCAAUGGUGGAAAUAAAAGAGCUUGAAAAUGUUGGGAUGCACUGGUAAUAGUUGGAACCAUAGUAGAAGCAGUUGAGGAUGUUGAAGCACUCAUUAUAAAUAAAUCUGUAAAGAAAAUACAAGAUCAAGUAGAAAAGUUGAGUAAAACGUACCUUAAAAUAUAAAAUCAAAUAAAAUGAUAAACUUGAACUUGAAAAAAAAAAAAAAAAAAAAAAUAUAUAUAUAUAUAUAUAUAUAUAUAUAUUUUUAAAGAGGUUGUAGAUUAAGGCAACAGAACAGCAAUAAGAUGGUGGCAGCAGGCAGCGGUAAUGUGGCAGUAGGUAGCGGUAAGGUGGCAGCAAUAGGGCAAUAGGGUGACAGCGACGGGCAACGGCAAUGACGGGUGACAGGGUGGCAGUGGCGGCAGUGGCGGGUUUGGUGGCUGUUUGGUAGCAGGCGCGGGGCACAGUAGGGAGCAAGGAGCAAGCUAAGGUGGAGUUGGACUGGAUCAAGUAUUCUAAGCAAGCAGGGCAGAGAGUGGAACAAGUACUCUAAGCAAGCAGCUAAUGUGUGAGGGGCCAGCAAAAAGAACAAGAUCAUGAGGCAAACAUUGAGCAAGGGUGGCAACAAGUUUGAAGAGUCAAGACUAGAGCAAAAAAAUUGUGAUAGUGUGUAGAAGAGAGUCAUGCUGAUAACGUGUUGAGAAUGUUUAGAAAGACACAAGAAUAAUAGUAAGUCAUACACACACACAAGAGUAGUAGUAAGUCAUACACACAAGAGAGUUUCUAAGGAGAGAGAGCUUCAUACACAAAAAUCUAUUGAUUUGGUUGUGUCUCAUAUAGAAGAAGAGAAAAAGGGGAGAAGAUAAAUAAUACUUCUCCACUAGACUCUAAAUACUAUAGCUAUAGUAUUUAUUGUAUUCUACAGUAAAUAUUGUGGAGAGUUCCGGCUAUAUUUAAUGAUCUCAACAAUUUUAUGGAUUUUCUAAAAGGUGUAGUUUUGACAUAAAACUCGGUGGCUUUUACUCGAUUGAAGCGCAGUAGAGAGUCCGGUGGAAGUGAAGAGUGACAAUGGAACUCAGACUGGUCAUGCUGCAAUUUUAGAACCUCGUUGCUGAAACAUCAUGUGUCUUGAGAAACCUUACGUGGAUCGAUCUAAACAAAUAAACCUUGUCAAUCUCACAUACUGAAGCAUUUUUUUUUAUCAAUUCCACAACAAGCUUUGGCUUUUCCUUUGCUUGUGGAGGUCGGGGUAGAGCUUGUGUAAUUCAUUGUAAUGGGUUGUAUGCUCUGUAUGUAAUAUAUAUAUAUAUAUAUAUAUAUAUAUAUAUAUAUAUAUAUUUAUUGUAGGAUUUGAAAAAGAUGAUGGAUUCAUUUCUAGAUGUUAUGUUUUGCACAAUUUGUGUUUGUGGAGAGCGGUAUUUUUUGAAAUAAGAAUUUGUUUUGUAACGUGAUCAUGGUCAUAAAAGAUCCCACUUGUGUGAUUAUUCACAAAUGAAGUUAUUUGUCAAAGUGAUUUAGUACAUAGUAUUUUAGAAAAUACUAUAUAUAUAUAUAUAGAUAUAUAUAUAUAUGGAUCAAUUACAUAGUGAUCAUAAUAAAUUCACAAUUUAAAUAUUAAAAAUAUAAAAUCAUAUUUUAUGAACUUGGUUACAUAAUGGUUGAUAAUAAUAUUUCAGUUGAAAUACAAACUUCUAAAUCCUAUUCAAGAAACAAUUUAGUAAAACACAAUUAUUUUUAAUUUAAAAUAAAUAAUUAUUUUGAUAAUGUAGUAUUCGACUAGAAUAAUCUGAUCAACAAUUGUGGCUUGUUUUGAUCAAUUUUUGUUAGUUAUUAAAAAAUAGUAAAGGAACAUAUCUCUUUAUAAUUUCAUGACAAUGAUUUAAAAAUAGAAAUAUUCUGAUAUUCAAUCAAUUCUUGGUAUUUUUUUAAUAAAAUAUGCUUGUAUUAUUUUAUUUUAAAUAAUUUCUUUGAAUAAUGUUGAUGUAAAUAUUAGUCUACGAUUAAUUAAUAAUAAAACACAUAUUUAUCUUGCACAAAAUUACUACAAAAAACAAUAAAAAGAGGUCAAAUUUGACUUCACAAGUGUUUCCAACAAACAUACAAUAUUUCAAAUUAUAAUUUAGUAUUUAAUAGCACUUAUUUAGUACAUUAAAAAGAAAACCAAGAUUUUAUUUAAAAAUGAGAAAAUUCCCAAAGAGAUUUGUGCCAAAACUUACAAUUAAUUAUUAUUAUUAUUAUUAUUAUUAUUAUUUUUAUUUAUAUUUUUCAUACAAUGUUGCUAUACAAAAAAUUACUUCUCAAGUUUUAGAAAAAUGUUUUUUGGAAUUUUUAUUUGAAGAUUGUAGCAUGAACUUCAAUGUUUGGAAUCUCAAGUAAAAUAUAUCUGUAUAUAUAUUGUUAUCAGAUUUUAAAGAUAAUCAAAGAAUAUUUAAGACACAUAUGUAAAAAAAAUAUUUUAAGCACAUAUAUUUAUUAUUAAUUUCUUAUUUUACCUAAUAUUUUUUUGAAUUUUAUAUUUCUUUAAAAGACUGAUUUUAUGAAUUAACACAAAUUCAUUCUAACAACAAGAAAUUUUAAAACUCUUUUUGCAAUGAUUUCAAAAUUUUAUAUUAUCUAUUGUAAUUUUUUUAAAAUUAAAUUAAAAGAAGUUUUAAAUUAUUUUAAAAUGACAUAAAGUAAUAUACUAUAUAUAUAUAUAUAUAUAUAUAUAUAUAUUAAAAUUUAUGAAAGAUAUAAGAUUGUUCACCUCCUUUAGUGAUGAUGUUAUGCUAGAGCAUUCAUCCACUUUUUUGUUUUUUUUAAAGAUGUAAUAUUAUCUUAUUUCUUUGACAAUGACAUCCAGUUUUAAAAUACAUACAAUUAAAAAUAUAUCAAAUAUGUAAAGUUAUCCAAGUUCUUUGGAAAUGUUAUGAUGCUAAUGUAUCCAAACUUUUAUACACAAUACAACCAUAGAAUAUAUAUUGGAAUGUUAUUCAUAAAUAAAUAGAUAAUUGUAUAAUACUUCUUCACAAAGUAUAAAUCCCUCUAUUUUUUUAUUUUUAUUUUAUUUUAUUUUUUUUGUACAUGACCUAUAACUUCAAACUUAUCAUUCUACACAAAAGAUAUACAAGAAGAUUCACUUACGUACCAAUAAAAAACAAACAAACAAACAAACAAACAAAAACUAUCAAACAAACUACAUAAUCCAUUACUAUUACAUCUGUAAUUACAAAAAAAUAAACAAAAGAAAAAAAAAAUCAUACAAUCUUUAAACAUCACUUUUGACAAAAACACAUAUGAAAAACCCAACGUCUCAAAAUUUCUAUUAUAUCAUUUUUGUGAAUACAAUUAUGGUACAAAUAGUUCCAAAAUUUUAAUCCAAAUAUAUAUCUACUUGUUUUGUUUGUACAAGUAAACAUGCAUGGAAAUUACCAUCACCUACUAGCAAUGUUUUUGGCAUUUGGCAUUGGUAAGGGGGAAUAGGGUUUGGAAGGACCGGCGAAGGUGUCAGAUCUCGUCGGUAAAUUUGUGAGUUUGGGUGUCAAUAUCCGACUCCGAUUGCUGCUUCGAGGACGACGUCGCCGAUUGCAGAGCCGAGACGUCGGCGUGUCUGAGAGGACUCGAUCGCCCUGCGCUGGAGCAGGUGCGCUUGUCGAGCCACAGAAUUAUGUCCUUGAACACAAGCUCGAUGUUGUCGUCAGGCUCGCCCGCUGUCAAGCCGUGCCACAUGCCCGGGUAGAGCUUGAAUUCCUUGUCGCUGCUUUUGGAGGCUUGGAAUAGUGCGCGGCUCACGUCCGGGUCUGUCACGCGGUCCUCCUCGCCAUGGAGCAACAGAAACGGUAGCACUACCUGGUGAUCAAUCGAUUGAUUCCACAAAAUGGGUUAUUGAAGAUUCAUGGGUGGGUUUCGAAGUUUGCAAAGAGGACUGAUUGAUGACCCUCGACACUGCAGGGAAAGCACAGAAUGGGCUUGGAUCGUGUUUUGUUACCUCGUCCAAACGGUUCUCGAGAUCCUCGCUCGCCCUGACCAUCUCUAGAGCUGUCUUCACUCUUGGCCGGCCUUGAUAGAUUAGUGGGUUUGCGCGAAUCUGGUUGGGAAUCGAUUACUGUGUAGUUAGUACUAUUGCGAGAUGAACCAGAUUAUGAAGAUAUUUGGAAGCGUAUGAGUAUUGAUAGAUUGGUACAAGAGAUGGGUAACUUGUUGGGAAAUUCGGCUACCUCCUCCCGCUUGAUCGGAUCUUUGAAGGCGUUGUCGAUAAUGUUCGCAGCCGGCACAAUCUUCCAGGUCGGUAUGUAGCCAGCGAGUUUCGUCAGGAUUGAGGUGACGAUCGAGGGUGGCUUCACACUCUCCGAGAUUUUACACAUGGGAGCUUGCAAAACAGCGCCGGUCCACUCGACGGGCUCUUUGCGGUGGAUGUGGAGGGCAAUCGCUCCACCCAUGGACUCGCCAUACAGGAAGUGUGGCAUGUUUUGGUUCUCUUCUAGAUCUGUUGGAAUCAGUAUCAUCGUGAUCUCAAUUCCAGUGUAUUUCUGUACCGUCGAAGCUUCAUCAAUCACAGGUUCCACAAGUAAAUAACGUGAAAGAUAGUUUAUAGUCGAAUACGUGUAUGUACCUCGUAUGCUUUUGAAGAAAGCGAUGGAGUCGUCCACUAGCGCUUGGAAGCUCUCCACAUAGCACCGCCGGCCUUCGGACUUGCCGUGGCCUUCUUGGUCAAUGCCGAAGACGGCGUAGCCUGCUUGCGCAAACCGGAUGCCGGUGGCUCUCAUGAAGACGCUGCAUUCCAUAGCGUAACCUAGCAACGUGACCGCGCAAAAUCUAUUGUUAGGACAGAUAACAGAAAAAACUGUCCAGGUUGAAGGUCCAUGUUGGUUACUCUAGAAUUCAAAUAAUCAAUCUAUCAAUCAAUCAAGUUGGGGAGUCUAUGUGUACCAUGACACAGGAAUAUGAGUCCCUUGAUCGUUUUGUGUACCGGCAGCCAUCGACACGUAAACAGCUUUAGUCCGCGCCGCUCAAAGUAGUCCUGGAAAUCCACCACAUCAUUUCGCUUGAGGUCAAUCUCUUGAACACCCAAAACUAACAAUUCUAGGUUAGUAGCAUCUUCAUCUGAACUUCUGUCUCAAUCGCGAGUAAAUGUGCUAAGCUGUAACAGUAGCAGCCGAAGCAUUGAACUAAUCGCUGUAACCGUAUGACUACACAACUAAUACAGAACUAUUGCCUCUGCAGCAGAUUUGUAUCUGCUAUGUUCCAUGUUCCAAGUAAUGUUUCAUGCUUCCCUGGAGAAUUGAGCAACUCUGGUUGGACAGAGACCCUAAACUCAAAUCUCUACACACAUGCAAAUGAUUCAUCAACUGUAGAAUUGUUUACACGGUUGCAUAGGUGAGAGUACCUCUUCAUAGUGGACAUUCUUGUCCGCUAAAACUUGAGCUUCCUGCAUUCAGAAACAACCCACAAGGGGCCGAACAUUAGUGUUACAACGUCACAAUGAAAAGAAUAACACUAAUUAUCAAAUAAAAAAACAAUUGGGAGAAGGAGAAACGCCUAGUAAGGAAGCGAGUAACUCAUGUAUAUUUCUUAGAAAAAGAAUCUAUUUCACUAAAUUUUUGUGAGGACCAAAGACACAAAACGUGUGCAAUUGAGAAUUCACCGAUUUCAGAAACAAAGUCGAACUACAGGUUCAACAUGGUUCAUGAAAUCAAGAGUGAAAUGUCGCCCCAACCAUUCAGUUAGGUCGCGUGUGCGAUCAUCAUUCUGGAGCUUCUAAUUUUCAAACCUAGUAGAAACUCUAACAAAUUCAUGCACAGCAUGUCGUUCAAGAUCGAAUCCCUUCCGAAUCCACCAAAAAACCCGCGAAACUCGACCCCCGAAGACCGCAAAGGAACAAAACAACCCUAACAUUAGUCGAAGUGACUGAAUUCAGAAUUCUCAACGGACUCAAACGACGUCGCACUCACCAUGACAGUUGAAGUAGCAGUUCUGAGGUCUAUUCUCCACACAAGCGAUCACCCAGAAGCCUAGCAAGUAAUCCCCGACUAGAGAUGACUGCAAUUCGAUUAGUGCUCAACCGAGUUCGCGUCUUAGAAGUUCCAACUUGCAGUUAGCUUGAUCACCCACAAGCAACCCUUCUCCUAUAAAUAGAAACUCCUAACUGGAGUAACUCGAGAAUAUCCCUAUCUCCACCGUUCCGCACUACUCUCAUCCCGCCCAAAAAGCCACUUAUCUCGCGUUUCGCCCCCAAAAUACCAGUCAACUGCUGCCCUUUGAAGUGAGAAACGCAAUUCACAGGUUUCGACCUUCACAAAAUUUCCACGCAAUCUGCUCUGAAGCUGACCAUCUCGGUCGCAUCUACAAGCAAAACCAGUCCACAAACGUCGCAUGUUAGAUGGGUACGCAUGAGCUGUACGGAAUGUCAUAGACCUCAUUCUCUCCACUACGAAAACCAUUGUCUGGAAUUGGUGCUCUACCAACUACCAAUCGCAACGCAAUCCAGUUAAAAACUUCAAGAGUUAUUUGUCAGUGGCGUCGAAUAACACGCAAACGUGGAGCUAGGCUACCAGUAAACAGUACCCAAUUUUCCAACGUGGUCUACAAAAAGCUUGGAAGUCCGCGUGACAACCUGCAGCAGCUCUGGUGUGUGUGGGGUGCAGAUGAUUGUUUUGAGAGUGAGAAGAAGAGUCAAUGAUGAGAGACUACUUUUGGGGAAAGAGCAAAGUAUUUGGUCACGCACAAGCGAAAUUCAGAUCAGACGAGGAUUCGUGGCUGCCCGGCGGCAAAACUUUAGCAGUGGUAUCUAGCUGGGUCCACCUCAUAGUGGGGAAGGUAGUGAAUCUUCUUCACUAGAUUCAUGCAUGGUAUGAGCUGAUUGUCUAAAGCAGACGACUGAUGUUCUUGCACAAAUUUGGAAACUGUUUCAAUACUCUCUGAGUCAGGCAAGUGGUUGCAGUGUGUAAAUAUUCACACACAUACACAUAAUUUUUUUAUUUGUUAUUUUCUAUUUUAAACAGAAUCUAGGUCUGUCAUCUUCCACGACAUGAAAAGUCGAUUGACUCCGACAGCUCUUAUCGAAGCUCUUUUGAUGCGUAUACAUCCAGCUUUACAAGAACUCACUGGUUGAGCGGGCAGUGAAGAGGUAGCUGCGGCAGAUAAAAUGCAGAUAGUUUGUUACUCUUCUCUCUCUCUCUCUCUCUCUCUCUCUUUUUUUAUUAUUUUAUUAUUUUAUUAUUUUUUCCCCCCCCCAAGAACUUUCUAUUUAGACUGAUUGAACUUAUGCUGAAUAAAUUACAAACGUUCGCCAUGUUCGGCCAACUUAUUAUCGGAAAACCAUUAUAAAUCACUUGCCCAUGUGCAGAGAUCGCCCGAUGAGCAUGCUCUGCGACACGGUCGUGUCACCAGUGCGCAGUUUUUGUUUCAGCUGCAGUCCCGUUGCGCAACUUCUGAGCCUCCGUGGGUCCCUAACGCACGAAAACUCAUAGUAAAGCUGGCAAUGAGCUCCGGUACAAAGGCAAAUCAUUUGCACUGUGGCUGGAUACUGCUGGUCGCACUGGAAGAAUAAUUGAUAAGGUGAGGAGUUCGUUUGAGGGAUAGUGCCCACGUUGCAUCUUAUGCGACAAUGAGUGAGCUGCCGCAGUAACAGCAGCAGCUUGGGGUCCUACACACACAUACACAUAUAUACAUACAUACAUACAUACACACACACACACACACACAUAUAUAUAUAUAUGUAUAUAUUACACAGAGACACUACACUAAAGUACAGUACACUACUCACUGCACUACUCAGUCAAUUGCAUUUGGAUGUGCCAAGCAAGCAAGCGAAGCGAAGCAAGGCAGACACAUACGCACUUGCACAAAAAGAUGCAUGACCCCGUUGCGUGUCCUUCCUUGUGCUCUCUCUCUCUCUCUUUUUAUUUUUCUUCAUUUUGUGCUCCAUUCCUGUCUUGUCCUGUCCUGGCCAAUGCAACUCCUUCUUUUCCUUUUGUUUUGUUUUGUUGCCUUUCCAUCAUCGAUGUGUGUGUGUCUCUGUCUAGAGACCCAUCUCGCGUCGUGGAUCGCGACGCCAAUCGAUGAGCUCCGAGCGUGACACGCAUCUCGUUCUCUCCUCUUUUUUCCGUACUUUCUUAUUACUUUUUUCUUUCUGUAUUUCAGUUGCUACUUUUUGGAAUCGAAAGAGAGAGUCAACCUUCGUUAUUGAGGAUACAUAAAUACAUAAUUUGUGUGAAAAUAUAUGUAUAUGUAUAUAUAUAAUAAUAUAUAUUAUAUUAUAUUAUUAUAUAUUAUAUUGUUUUGUUUUAUAAUAUAUUAUAUAUAUAUAUAUAUAUAUAUAUAUAAAUAUAUAUAUAAUAUGUUUCUAUUACAUGUUUCAAUCGAGUGUGGUGGGCGAGACCCAACCACUUGCUUGGGUCCUGUAGUUGAUCUGCUUGGAUAUUAAAAAGCUUUAGCAAUUGAUGUACAUGGUAAAUUAUUGUACCACAAUCAUAUAUAUAUACAUAUUUAUAUAUAUAUAAAUGUAUAAAUGUAUGUUUUUUAAAUCAAAUUUAUGGGCAAAGAGUGAUUUGGAAAUAGAACCCAAUAUUUUAGAAUUGUGAUUAUGUAUGAUGGCUAAGUUUACUUUUUUAUUCGGAACACAAUAUCUAUUGCAUAAGUAUAGUAGUUUGUAGUGCCAGAUUAUUGGAUCUUUUUAAAUGUUCAAUGUUAGUUUUACUAGUUACUUUUUUAUUUGAAUUUAUUAGCAAAAACAAGAGGAAUUAAAAUAAAGAGGUUGAAAAGAGUAUUUUUGAAAAAAAUAAUAUUGAAUGAUGAAAGUAGGAAGAUACUUGGGAAGAACUUAUUUGAAAAAAUUAGUAUUUACAAAUGAGUGCAUUAUAAAAAAAAAAUGUUAAUUCUUUUAAAUAAUAAUAGGAAGAAAGAUCCACCAAUAAAAUUGAAUACUUUUCUAGGUUUUUCACAAGAAAUGUAUACCUAUCAGAUGAUUUGAGUUUAAAAGUCAUAUAUUAAUGUUUUAUUAAAAAAAAAAAAAAAAAAAAAAAAAUCACAUGUUUGGAAUAUGGUACAAUAGAAGGCUAAAAGUCUGUGGUUUGACAAAAUAAAAAAUCUAACUUGAUUGUUUUAUUGGUUAUAUUUUUAUUAUGAAAUAUGAUCUGAUUUUUAUUUAUUUUUUAUUUUUGAUAUUUCUUAUAUAAAACAGCUAAGAGGAUAAACUAGAGAAGACAUAAACCAUCUUUGAUUUGCUACAUAUGUCAUUGUAUUUAUCAAAAGUAAAACAAAAGAAAGCAAUAACUCAAUUUUUGAUCAACAUCUACAUGUUGAUGUACAAAUUCCAAAGAGUAGUAUUGCAAGAUUAAUAUACAUGGAAUUAUUCCACAAAUUAAACUUUUACAUUUUUUUUUUUUUUUUUUUUUUUUUUUUUGUAAUCAAUGACAUAUGUUUUUUUUAAUAUAUAUAAACACAUACAUAAAUAUAUAGUAUUGGUGAAGAAGACUCAUCUUACACUUAUUGAAGGUAACAAUGGAUGAUCACUUGCAUUAAGAGAUGUUAUUGAAGAAACACAAUCUUCACAAAUGAUAUUAGGAGAUCAAGUAUUAUGUGUUGUCUUCAACAUCAUUCAAUGUCCUGCAAAUCCUAUUGUCAUUGAACUCCCUUGGUUUGAAUUACAUAAUCUUGAUGUUAAUUGGAAUCUUUGUAAAAUUUCUUCAAGAUCAAAACAUCAAAGAAGGAAACAAGUUACAUCAUUUCUUAGAACUAUUGCCUUUAUGCAUACAACAAAGAAUGGUGUUGCAUUUGCAUUAUAUGCUACUCCAAUAAAAAAAUUUAAUUGAAUAAGUUUUAUAAGAUAUUCUAAUUCAAUAUCAAGAUUUUAAAGGUAUUUUUGAAAAAAAAUUGAAAACAUGCUAUCAUUAAAAUGAACAUCAAUCUUAUGGUUGUGCUAUAGAAUUACAAAAAAGAGCUCAAUUACUAUUUGGACCAAUAUAUAAUCUUUUUCAAAUAGAGUUAAUAGCCUUGUGGGAAUACAUUUAAGAAAAUCUUUUUAAGAAUUUCAUUUGAUACUCAAAAUUAGUUGUUGGAGUAUUUAAACUUUUUGUAAAGAAGAUAGAUGGAUUUUUAUGAAUGUGCAUUGAUUAUCAAUAUUUAAAGAAGAUAAUGGUAUAGAAUUGUUAUUCAUUACUAUUGAUAUUAUGAUUCCUUGAACAACUGGGACAAGAAAAGAUCUAUAUAAAGAUUGACUUUUGUGGAACUUAUAAUUUGAUACACAAUGAAGAAGGGAAUAAAUAGAAGACAUCUUUUUGGACAAGAUAUGAGCAUUUUGAGUACAACGUCAUGCCUUUUGGUCUAAUCAAUGCAUUAGCUAUAUUCUAACAUUUGAUAAAUGAUGUUUUUCAAGAAUUCUUGGAUAAAUUUUUUGUUUGCUAAGGUUCAAGCUAGUAAAGAUUGAAAAAUUCCUAAGACAAUUUGAGAUGUAAAAUGUUUUCUUAGUUUUGCUAAUUUUUAUCAAAUAUUUAUUAAAAACUAUUUUCAAGUGGCGGCUCUUUUUACUUGAUUAACAUAUAAAGAUAAGUUGGAAAAGGGGCCUCAAGUAAAAUAGCUUUUCAAGACCUUAAGAUGACUUUUAUUUUAAUUCUAAUUCUAGUACAUCCAUAUUUUUAAAAAAAAAUUUAUAUAGAGACUUAUAUUUUGCACUAGAAGUUGUACUAUCACAAAAAAAAAACAAAAAAGAAAACAAAAACAAGAAACUAUAUCUAGUGGUAUUUUAUUCUUAAAAGUUUUUAAUUGCUAAGAUUAAUUAUGAAAUCUAUAAUAAAGAAUUCCUUGCUAUUAUAGAUUUUUUUUAAAAAUAAUAUCAUUUGCUUGAAGGUGCUUCAUAUUUAGUGACUAUAUAUAUAGAUCACAAGAAUCUUCAAUAUUUUAUGAUGGUUCAUGUUUUAAAUUGUUGCCAAACUCAAUGGAAUAUGUCUCUAUCUUGUUUUGGCUUCAACAUUACAUAUUGACCUAAAAUACAACAAAGAUUAUUAGAUGCUUUAUCUAAGCAAUCAUACCUUGUGCCAAAAGAAAGAAAGAUAGCAUAUAAUCAAGAAUAGAUAAUACUCUUAAAACCUAAGCACUUGUAAUUUCAAGCAACCAUUAUGUCAAUUUUAAUGGAUUCUUUAUUUUUUUAUUCAGAUUUAUACAACAUUGGCUAUGGAUCUUCUUGCCUUUGAUAUUAAAUAAUAUAUUAAUAAUAUUUAAGAUAAUUCUAGCAAAUUUAAGUUUAAAGAAAACCUUCUUUACUUUGAAGAAUGCCUAUAUAUUCCUAAAGAACUUGCAUGCCUUUGUGUUUUCUAAGUGCAUCAUGACUUUCUUGCUGUUGCACAUUUUGAAUGCAACAAGAUAUUAGAACUUAUUUUUUAUGACUUUUAGUGGCCUAAGUUGUAAAAGACUAUCAAAAAAAAAUUUCUUUCAUGAAACUUUAAUUAGAAGAAGCUCAACAAAGAUAUAAAAUAAGAAAAAAUAUACUUAAAUAAAAACAACCUUCUUUUGGAAUUGAUGAUAAGGUGUGGCUCCUUUAAUACAAUAUAAGGACAAGUUGACCAUGCAAGUAAUUGGACUAUUGAAGAUUAGGGCCAUUUCUUAUUUCGAAGCAAAUUAAUCUUGUCGCUCAUUGUUUUGAAUUAUUAGUAUUGAUAAAAAUACAUUAUAUUUUUCAUGUUUCUCUUUUUGAAUCUUAUAAAGAAUCAUGCAUAUUAGAAAGAAUACAAGCACCAUUGGGAUAUAUUAAAAUAGAUAAUAAUAAAAAUUUUGAGAUAGAAGAAGUAGUUGAUUCAAAGAUAUCACAAGAACAAUUGGAAUACUUUAUAUAUUGGCAUGGUUAUACUAUUAGUCACUGCACAUAGAAGUUUACUCAAAAUUUAGUAAAUGUACCUCAAAAGGUACAAGAUUUUCAUCAAUAAUGUCCUUCCAAAUUAAAAGUAGCAACACGUGUGAUAUUUUCAUGAUAUCUAGUAAUCUAGGCAUGUAUAAUAACUACUAAGUAAUAUUGCCAUAAUAUCUAGUCUAUGAGGAUGAACAUUGCACUUCCAAAGAUUUCUAGAUUACUUUACAAAAAAGAGAGAAGUAACUUUUUUUUUUUUUUUUUUUUUUUUUUUUUUAAAUUAAGACUCUAUAGAAUAUAUAAGUAGCAACUCAAAUCUAUUAAAUUGAACCUUAAAUUUGGUAGUUUUUCUUGUUUUAGCUUAAUAGUUUCAAUUAUAGAUAGUUAAAAAAAUGAUAGUUUAUAUGUUGGACCAUCUCAUCGAAGUAGUUUAUAUCAUCAAUCUUGAGAGGAAGAAUUUUUUGAACUGCAAAGAUGUUAAAGAAUAUCUAACAAUUGAUGAUUUGUAAUCAUCAUUGAAGUAGAAUAUGCUCAUAGAGAUUGUCUAAAAAUAAUCUUUGAAGGAGAUUUUUAUAGUAAAGAUAUUUAAAUACAAGCUUAGUCUUAAAUGAAAGAUGUUGGUUAUUACCAAUGGUUGCAAGGACCAAUAAGCCUCUUAACCUAUAAAAAACAAUAUAAAUAUAUUACACAAACCAUGAGGCUUAUCUUUGAUUUUUUUCAUCUUUGAGCAAUUAUAGCUUAACUAUUCCUUGCGAAACUUGGAACCAAAGGAAGAGGUGAUGUCAUGAACAUCCAUCUAGAGAAGAUUUUAAAAAAUUAUCAAAGGUUCUAGAAGAUCUUAGAAGAUUUUAAAAAUUUCCAAAAGAGGUUUAUAAAGUUGAUUAACUCCCAAGUAAUGUAGAAAGUUACAAGAGAAGGUUCUUGUGGUUGAUUCACAAUGAAGCAACAAUGAAACUCCUCAAGAAGCAUCCUAGGAUGAUUUGGAGGCAAAGCCUUAUCUAAAAGCUUUCUAAAUCCUAGUAUAUAUAAGUAUUGAAGUUCAAGGUCUUCUUGUUUUAAACAAUAUAUGUUAUGUGGUUUAAUUUUGGACCUUUUAGUCUAGUUCUUGUUCUAUUAUUGUAUUGUUUAAUGAUAAGACUCAUAUAUCUUGUUAUAAUAUUGCAUAGUCCUUAGAUCUUCUGUAUAAUAUCUUAAUGUGUGUUGAUUUGCUCUUCUGAAAUCUUAGUAUUGCAAGAUCUUUAUUAAAAAAUACAUACAUGAUGUCUCACAUAUAUGAUGUCUUGCAAUGGUGCAUAGACAUGCACAUACAAUGCUCUCACAUGCAUAUAAAAUGUCUUGUAGCAUGAGCAAAACAUUCCCAUGCAUGUCAAGGCCAUGUGAAUUGGCAAUAGCUAUUGUCAAUAGCUAUACACUAAAAUUUUGAAUACAUAUAUAUAAGGAGAUUGGUUUUGGAAUAGACAUGUGCCUUAAUAUUUAAGAAGUGAAGUAUGUGAUGAGCAUUACUUAGGUGAUUCAAGAAGCAAGUUUUUGCUUAAAGCAAUUUUUAUCAAUGAAUCCAAAACUUCAUAGCCUUAUUAAAGAUAGAAUCAAUAAAGACAAAGAGACAUAGACAAACUUCAAGCAAGUAUGAAACACAUAAUAUCAUGGUACAAAAAUAACAUCCAAAGUCUUAUAAAAAUUAGUUUGCAUAUUGAACAUAUUAUUAUUAGAAAAAAAAAAUGCUUAGUAUGUUGAGAAGUGUGAUUUUGGUACUACACUCCAACAAUGUGCAUAUUAUGAUCUAAAGCACAAUUAUGAAUGAUCAAAGCAAAGUUCAUUAUUUUGUCGAGGAAAUCAAAGAAUUGCAACAUCUUUGUCCUUCGCUACUAAAGGUAGACAUCUUCACCCUCUUAAGAUGUAUGUAGCCAAAUUUACAAAUUCAUGCAGCUUUGCUAUACUAUUCUCUAGCUAGCUCCGUCAACUAUCACUAGUUUGAUAUCAAUGACUUAUAUGUGUAUUUGUAGAAUUUAUAAUACACAAGCAUUAUUUCUACAUGGAAUUCUAUAAUGCAAUAGUUAAAAAUGAUAUUAAGAGUGUUGCACUGGUGUCAUAUAGAGAAUAAAUUCUACCACAUUGUAACUAUAGCACAUAUCCAAACAAAAGAAAUAAUUAUCAAUAGCCAUAAUCAUAGUUGAAACCAUAGGCCUAAAUAGAAAAAAUGUGCAAAGAGUAAAGGUUUCUUAUAUCAAAAAGGUUUCCAUUGCAACAUUAUCAAAAAGCUUGCAUUAAACAUAUUUUGUCAUACAAAGCAUUUGAUAGAUUCUACCUACAAUACAUUAUGGAUUGAGAUUUCAUUUGUUUCAUGCCCUGGUUUUGUUAAGGCCUUGUAAAUUCUAAUUUUGAUUCACUUUUCACAAAAAUAAUGAUACAUGCAACCAAGCAAAGAAGGUUUUUGUCUCCUCUUGUUUGUCUCUUGAGAUGUUUUAUAUAAUAGACUAGUAGAAAUCCAUGUUGUUGACUAUAAAAAGAUUAUAAUAUAAUAAAUGCAUUAACAAAUGAAAUCUUUGUAUUGAUUAAGUUAUAGCUCAUUAAAUAUAAAUAUAAUAGGAAAGAAUAAUCACUCUACUAAUGCAUCUUUAUAUGCUAUGGUUUGGCCAUUGGUGCAUACCUAAUCAAAAACAUCAAAAUGCACAACCUCCUUUGUGCUAAGAGGCCUAACUUGGACUAUGACAUAUAUCUUCUCUUCUCCGCUCUUGACUUGUGUAAAUUGAGUUGCUCCACCUCUAUCAAUAGCAACAAUCAUAGUUAAGACCAUGUUGAGUAUGUGAAUUAAACCACCACCAACCUCCUUAAGAUUGUAACUUAGUUGUAGAAUCAAAGUAUGUCUUUUUAGCAUGCAAGAAAACAUAUCUUGAAAGGCAUUUCAUUGUUACCCAAGUAUAGUCCUUCUUCAACGUUUUUAGUUGUUGCUUGGAAAUGCUAUGAGAGCAUACCUUAGCUAUGGCCGAUUAUGUAGUUUGCAUGUAAUAGAUAUUUAUAUUUGGCUAAGGUUGAAACUCAACGCCAUAUUACUAGCACAACAAAAAAUAAGAGUAAAAUCUCUCAUUAAUAUAACAGGCUGGGAACAAUUCCAUAGGGCACAUUUUCUUUGGUAGGAAACCGUAAAAAGAAACACGUCUCAUCGUAAUAUACUCAUUUAGCCAUCACCAGUGGCAAUGGCGAGCAGACAACGACAGCAGAUAUCCUUCAUUCAAUGUGGAAUCUAGCGAAUAGAAACGAACUGAUGUAACUUCUACAGAUUCGAGUGUUAUUUUCAAUCUGAAACAAUUUCAAAUGAUAGUCAUUGGCCCACAGGACUACAUGUUUCUGAGCAAUAUCUGUCAGAAAACAAUCUUAUUACACUACGAAAUCUUGGCAAAUAUAUCUGGAAUGAUCCGAUGAACUGGAAAAACUCAGUUCUGUCCGCCAAUUUUCAGUUGAGGUAAGAACCUCAAUCCAAUGGAGACAAUUACGUCCACUCGCCUAGGAAGAAUACAGAAAUUACGAAGUGGAGGUCAGAAAUAGUUAAGCUUCACCAUGUUGCCGCUUCCCCAUAAUGCGUUUCAUAUCCGGCAUACACCCACUUGGUUUGCAGGUUGAUAUUUCGAAGGAACUCACAGGACUGAAUGCAGGAGGUACUGCAGCAAGUGAAGGUUAUGAGAGUUGCUGCUAGUAGGGCUUCUGGCACAGGUAGGUAGCUACUGCAUGUGGGGCUUCAAUUGAUGUUGAACUCAAGCAGCAUGUGCAACAAGUCGAUCGAUUUGUUUAUCAUCAGAUCCAGCCUUCGCCUCGGGAGUUGAAUCCUCACUUGGAGGCACAAGUUGCCAAAACUGUGGGAUAACCUUGUCCCAAUUCUCCAGGACAUACUUCCCCUUGGCACUCCCUGUCUUCUCCUGUUCCGCAAUCCCCAGAAAAGGCAGAGUUAGAUGACAUGAUAAUAAAUGCAAAAAUGAGCAUACAUGAAAAUUAGUUAAAUUGACACACGCAGGAAAUUAAAAGGUCGUACUGUAUGGGACUGGAUGAGCAGCCUAAGUUGUGCUUGCCCAGCAGGAGUUGUGACGCGUUGCAUUUUCACUAUCUCCCUGUUCACCUGUCAACAUAGGUUAAAUAAAUCGUUCAGGAAUACGUACAAGAAAGUCCAGUCUUCUAGUAUUACUAAUUCAAGCAUUGCACUCAAAGAAAUCGCAUUGUUGGGAGUUAAUAAUGUAAAUUAACUCCUAACGCAUAAUUUGUAGAUGUUGCAGAAAUACCUGGGGCGUGAAAGUAUCAUCUUCGUCCAGGAAAUAAGCUAAGCCACCAGUCAUUCCGGCGGCUACGUUGCGACCAACCCUAUAUCACACAUCCGUCGAGCAGGUGUAACACACCACAAUUUUAGACCAAAACCCAUCCAUCCCAUCCCAAAUGGGGAAUUUGAUCAAGUUUCCUGCUAUCCCAAACCUCAAAAGAUGCAUACAUAUCAGCUCAGUGUAAGUUCUGCAACGACUUAAUUUUUACUAGGAACUGUCAUACUCACUUGCCAAGGGACACUACACAACCACCGGUCAUGUAUUCGCAGCAAUGGUCGCCAGUCCCUUCAAUUACUGCUUCUGCCAUAGAGUUCCGCACAGCAAAUCUCUCGCCUGCUUUACCCCUCACAAAUAGCUGGCCUCCUGUAGCACCAUACAGACAAGUAUUGCCUACUAUAGUUGCCUCCUCUGGCACGUACCCACAGUUAUCAUAUGGAACCACAACAACCUCUCCUCCUGCCAUUCCCUGCCAAGAAAUACGCAGUAGAUGCAAUGUCACUUCCUUUGUUAGAUACAACUUCACCAGAAAUAACAAAAGUUGCGCUUGAAACAUGCGAGAGAACUGUAUCCCAUAUUUGCAGUCAACCACACACGUCGUAAUUAUUCCUGGAAAGACAUUACAGCGGAACGAGGGGCAUGUCCUGUGGAUGAAAUACCUUGGCAACACCAUCAUUUGCUUCUCCAAUUAGACGCAAGUUUAUUCCUGGAGUCAAAAAACAACCAAAUGACUGUCCCGCACUUCCAACAAACCUGCAAAGGAAGUAGCACUGAUCAGUUUCCAUUGCAAUCGAAGUAGAACGUCCUGCUGAUGAAAAAAGGUGGUACAGCAAACACAAUCAACGUCAAAUCUAAUUCUCAGUUCACGUCUCCACCAUGCUGAAUCCAAGGUUAAUUUAUGUUAUUUAGAAAAUGAUGUACCGCUGCAUAAAGUAGGUAUUCUUCAUGCUCAACUACACCAGCAGCCAAGCAACACGAAAACAACGUAACUUACGUUAGAUUGAGCCGCCCUGGGAAUCCAUUAUCCCCAUACUUUUUAGAAAUUACACCAGCUAAACGUCCACACACAGAGCGAUCAACAUUGAAUAUUUUAAUAGUCUUCUCAAAUGUUUUCGCCUUCUCAAUAGCCUCUGCAAUCUGCAAAUGACAAUUAGUACAUCUUGAAUCACAUCACGCUAGUAAUUAGAUCUGUCAAUGCACUAAUGGGUUAAAUGUGGCGGGGAGCAAGUCGGUAGAUCUCACAAUCUCACAAGAAGCUUCUGCUUAAAUUCUGUGUUUAUCUGGUUAUAAUUUCUGUAGGUGCUUCCCAUAGUAGGCGCCCCUAUCACGCAAGGUUGUGUUUCUGCGAUUGUAACAGUAAAACUACUGAACAAGUCUCGAGAAAAUUAAACCCUCCAAUAUUUAACGAUGAUAACUCCAAGAAGAAGUUUAACGCUAUGCAAACCUCUGGAUCAGAUAGAAGAAUGUCAUCUAAAAUGACACCAUUGGAAUGAACCUCCUGCCCACGAAUCUGUGUACUGCUCCACUUGGGUAAUCCAACACUCUGCACAGAUCUCCAAAUGAUUGAUCUUGUGACUAAUAUGAGAGAUUAUUUUCAUCAAAAAAUAUUAAGUGUGACAUAGUGGCAUUGUGCAGCAUUUCAAGACCAAAAGCUACUCCAAAUCCUGCUCGCAUGACCAAGAAUGAAUGGAUUAAGAUAACUUGCCUUCAAAAGGAAACUGAGAUCCAAGGGGUUUGUCUUUCGGAGUUUGACGUUUCUUGGCCGAAGCAGGUCAGUUCGUCCAAUAAUAUCAUCGAGCUUCUGAUACCCUAGAUUAGCCAACAUACCUCGCACCUGCAGAGAUGCACACGAUGAACCAUAUUCCACUGAUACAUGUACCAUUUUUUCCAUAGACAUGGAGUGCUUACAUGUGUAAAGAAAGCCCACCUCUUCAGCGACAUAUAAAAAGUAAUUCACAAGAUCUCCGGGAACACCAGGAAACCGAGCGCGCAACUCCUCUCUCUGCAAGCAGAAAACGCAAUUCGUGUAAGGCUGUGAACAAUGCCACGGGACGAUAUCACUGAAGAUAUACUUGCCGGCAAUAUAUCCCUCGGGAUUUCAUAAAAGAGUCGGUUAACUAGACAAUAGUUUAAUUAAAACACAUAAAUGGCAGUAGGAAGACAUUUAGUAUUAAUCAAUCUUUACCACCAGAAACUAAAUGUGCGUCAUAAAACAAAAUUAUGAUAAAUCCUUUGUAAAACUACCGAGACAGACACUACGAUAAAAAAUAAAAAUAAAACUAACCUUAUUUUUUUGACAAACAGUGUGUCUAACAGUACGCAACAGUAUCUAUGCAUUACCUGACUUGCAACUCCAACAGGGCAAUUAUUGGUAUGGCAAAUACGUGCCAUAAUGCAACCUGUGGCAAUCAUAGCAACAGUACCGAAGCCAUAUUCAUCAGCACCCAUGGCUGCUCCCAUCAUCACAUCGACUCCACUCUUGAAGCCUCCGUCUACUCUGAGCAUUACUCUUUCCCUAAGACCAUUCUUGAGGAGAUCCUGUCAUCAAAGCAGUCACAGAUCGUUUUUAAGAAAACCCUCAGUUGGCCAGGAACCAACCCUCUAUCAAUGAGAGGUGAUUUUAAUGUAAAUAGAUGGAGGGAGACGUCCAGCAGAAGCAUAAACUGCAACUUAACUAUUCGAACACCAUUAGAACUCUUAUAAUAAUCAGCAUGAAGACACAUCAUAUCUACCAAAUUCUUUAAUGAAAAAAAAUCAUGUUGUAACAGCUAACCUGAUGUGUUUCUGUUAAACCAAGCUCCCAAGGACCCCCAGCGUGCUUGAUCGAGCUAAUGGGGCUAGCCCCAGUUCCUCCAUCAUAUCCUGAAAUCUGCUCAUUCAAUCGAGCAUUGCAAAGCCAAAAGAUAGCCAUCAACCCAGAACAAGUUAAGACUAUUGAUUCUUAAAUUGCUCAAUUAUAUAUGAAUUAUACAAUGACGAGGCAAUUCCAAACGAUAAUUUUCGCCUAUUUAAAGCCCGUGUAUGGUGAAGACAUCAAAUCAAGCCCUCUCAAUAGAAAAUCAUAUCUGGAGCUUUCAAAUGAGACCAGAUGAAUCGAAGUCCAGAACAUAACAACUUUCCCAGACGCAAGUAACACAGCUAUUCACAGCUGCUCUUAUUUAUGAGCUUUCAUGGUUUGAGUAAUCAUAGAAACUAAUUCCACUAGAGAGAAAUUUCUCACGACAAGUUUAAUGCCAUAUUCAAGGUGCAGAGUAUUCAAUUUCACUUCAAAAGAUAUUUCUAGUAAUAUGUUGCCAAUUAUCACAACUCCUCUUUUUGUAAUCUCAAAAGAUUUCUUCCCAGUUUCGUAAUUGACAACUCAAAAGUUGACAGGGUUGAUAACACAGAACAUACUUAAAUCUGUCGAAGUGCGAAAAGUAUACCUGUAUUAUAUCUGCGUUAGCUUUAGCAACUCCACAAGCAACUGUACCGAUUCCAACUUCUGCUACAAGCUUCACCGAGACUUUGGCUUUGGGAUUAACCUGCGACAAAACCAAUGAGGAGUGAGCGACAUAGAACAGGAUUCGAUGGAUUAAGUCGCAAUCGACAUUCCUUCCAGCUAAAGCACUAGGUAUAUAAGGAUAAUGAGCAGAUUAGGGUUGAAUUUUUUAUUUUACCUGGUGAAGAUCGUAAAUUAGUUGGGCAAGAUCUUCAAUGGAGUAUAUAUCAUGAUGUGGAGGUGGAGAGAUCAAUGGGACACCAGCUUUUGAAUUACGCAAAGUAGCAAUAUAUGGACUAACUUUUUUUCCAGGAAGCUGUCCACCUUCUCCGGGUUUAGCACCCUGAGCUAUCUUUAUUUCCAAUUGGUCUGCAUUGGCCAGAAAUGUAGGUGUCACACCAAACCGCCCCGAAGCAACCUGCAAAGAAACACCAUCAACAACUCGACGUGUAUAUAUAUAUAUAUAUAUAUAUAACGUAAAAAUAAAAAUAUCAGAAUAAAGCCCAUAGAAGUCACGUCGAUUUCCGAUAGAAGCCAGAGACAGAAGAAGUUGAACAUACAAGUGGCAAUUCUUUCGACCUUAAAGCUCAACUCUGAUAAGCAUCCAAGUAAAACUUAUCUAAAGACAGUAAACGCCUAUUGUAUCCAAACCUGCUUGAUGGCACUCGAUGCGUGAUCUCCGUUCUUCAAUCCCCUCAGAUGAGGAAGCAAGGGCGACAAACCAUCAACGACAUCCUCCAGAUGCUUCCAUCUCACGGGAUCCUGAUAACAUAGUUUCCAGCUCUAUGUUAGUUGUCUAAAAAUUAAAAUAGUGGGAGAUUCGAAACUUCACCAAAGAUGGCCUCCAUACAUGAAGAAAUUAUCUAGUUACAAGGUCUCACAAACUGGAAAAUCCAUGUUGGAAAAGCGAUAGCGAAUUCCCAGUUGUAUUACAAAAAUAUGGGCAAAGUAGGAUUCUAGCUUAGGUUACGCUGUUUUUGGCUACUUACGUUACCAAAACAUUUACAAUAUGACCUCGGGAUCCUUUGGGCUUUCCCAUCAUUAACUUCCAGGUGAUAUCAAAAACCGCAACAAGAAAAAUUCAGAGAUAAUGGAAAAGAACAUGAUACCAAGGCAUUCAACAAGUCGCUGGUUCCAACUGCUUUGUUUUUCGAGUUACCAUGUCCAACACAAGGUGAUUUCAUGGUCGCAGAGACGGAAAUGAUGGAAGUGAUUUAUUCUUACCUCACCCCCUUCUCCUGAAUUAGAUUUCCCGCCUAUUCUGUUCAUGGCUACCGCAAUAACUUCAUGAGUUUCUCUAGAAAUGGCUCCCAAGGACAUCCCUCCUGUGCAGAACCGGGAUACAAUAUUCGAGGCUGAUUCCACAUCCUCGACGGGAAUGGGUUUCCUGUCUGACUUAAACUCCAGCAUGUCACGAAGAACCUGACAUAGAAUACAAGGCAGUCAAAAAAUGAUAUUAUAAUUUCUGAUUAUUCUUCAAAUGUUCAUGAGAAACAAAUUGACUAUGUUUUCCACGUGAACUAAAUACAAAUGAACUCAAGGAACUGCUGAGAAAAAGAUGGUACAUUGACAGGUCGACUAGCAAGAUACUCUAGAUAUACAGCAUACGCAUCCCUGUUUCCCUCCCUAACUGCCUUGUGAAGCAGCUUUGACAUCUCUGGAUUGUUGCCGUGAUAUUCACCUGCAGCAUAAACAGCAAGCAUUCAAAAUUAUGCGUUCUACAAUGGUUUUCAAGAAUACAAUAAACGAACAUCAUCAAUAACCAAACAUACCGCGAAAAUAACAACUUUUACACCAAGGCCGGCUAACAUGCUAACAUAGAAGGUUCGAUCAAGAUGGUUAAGAGAACAAGUAAAAUCUGUUCGAUCAAUAGGGUUUGAUGAAAUCGAGUUCUCAUGUAGCGUUGACCAGACGUCAAGCCAACUGCCUCACUUACCACCUGGUCUCGACUGUAUAAAGCCAUAGUUUUCCAGCUUUCUUGCUGAGUCUUCACCAAAACCUUUCGACCAAAAUGAUACAGUUUCCCACGCCACCUGGUCGCCAAAAUGCACAUGAAUAUUCUAAACCUUAAGACCUUGUCAAAAUUUGAUCUACAUAAUAAUUUCGAUGUGGUUGUCCUUUAGGAACAUUCUGAGAUGCAGUCUAAAAACCUGAGUACAGGCACACUAGUCUCGAACAUUCAAAAUUGAGGACUUCAUCAUCUUUCUUACCUCAUCAAGCGUUAAGCCACCUAUACGAGAUACACUCCCACGAAAAGCAAGGUCCACAACUUCUCGGCCCAACCCAUAAAUUUCAAAAAUUUGAGCACCGUGGUAGCUGCAUUCCCACUAUCAUGAUCAGUGAAGCUUUCAUGGAUGUUGAAGCUAUCUCUUACACACACACACACACACACACACAAUUCAUGCAUUAAAAUGGUACGCACACGUGUUGGCCUUGUAUUAUCAGACAAAGGAACUGAAACUAGACAUAAUUAACUAUGUCCAACAUUCGCAUUACUGAGUAGUAUCCAACUUUCAUACCUCGUCAUCAGAGAUAUGCCCAUUUUGGAGAGGAUCUUCAAAAGGCCCACCUUUGCAGCCUGCAAACAUUGUAACUUUGAGUUAGCAUUAGCGCUCUCAACUAUAAUCUCGCACUUCUGUUACUGUCAUUGAAAUCAAUUUUUUCCAGAAUGCUAACAACCUUGACGUAGUUUGCUUGAACUUGCUCAACAGAAGAUGUUGGGAUUUUCCCAUUCUUCAUCAAUGCUAUUGUUUUAGUACUCCCGCGCCACUGUCGACAGGUCUCUAGUGCUAAAUAAGGACAAAUACCACUGCACAUACCACAAGACAAGGCAAACUUAAAAUCACAGUUGAAGAGUACGGAGAUUGCAUUAAGCACUGACGCAAACAGAAUGACAACUGUCAACUGAAGGAGAUACAUUACCAAAAGAAAUACUGGUAGAAAAAUCACUACAUUUUUGUAGAAGUAGCAUUUUCAUAUUGGUACUAAUUGAGCAUCAACUCUAAUUGUUCCAUCCAUUGCCGUGCGUUCAAGAUGACAUUUUGCUUCGAGUUUCAAUUACAACAAGCAAGUCUAUGGCCUUGUCCCCGGACAGAACUUUUCCAUAACAAUCGAAAAGCAACAUAACCUAUGUUCAGGGAAUGCGCAGCAUGUACUAAGUUUACUCACCUGGCACCAUAGCCAAUGAGACAAGCAAAGUGAUGUGUACUGAAGCACUGUGCAGUGUCAACAAUGAUGCUGGCUGACAUUCUCAAUCCAUUAGAGAUGAGGUGGUGAUGCACUGCCCCAACUGCCAGAAGUGGAGGAAUUGCGGGCUUUUCUGGAUCCUUGUGUUCAGCCAAUCCAGAUCGGAUGCAUAGUUAGAAAGAAUGUAGGCAGAAACACUUCCUACUCGCGAACUGUAAUUGUUGUUUCGGUAUAUAAUUUAACUAUCCUGAAGAAAAUCUAAUAGGUUUGCCAUUGUGAUCUUGACUACAUGAAAUCUAAUCGUGGAAAGGAAUAAUCAGAGGAUUAAAAUGAUAACAUUCUCGAAUGUAUAUACGAGAUAGGAAAGAAAAUUAGAACUUACUAAAUGAUUAUUGCGGUCACUCAGAAUAAUGAGCUGAGAGCCUGCACGCACAGCAUCAUCUGCAGCUCGGCAUAAGCUGUCUAACGCGCUUUGAAGCGCUCCAGGUAUCCCUUUACUAAUAUUGAAAUAAGUACGCAACGUCUUGGCUUUAAGCACGUUGUCCAUCUUCAAAAGUUCUAGCUCUUUUUCGUUGAGCACUGGACUCAAAAGGGUCACCUAUACAUAAAAACCGGCGGACAGGAAUUCCAAAAUUAGAACAAAAGAUAUUCUCAAUCAGUUAGAACAUGCACUUCGAUAAAAGGAUCAGUUUUUGAUUAACUAUUGUUUAACAUUUCAAAUCCUGAUCACAAGUAGAUAGAUCUUCAAGAAAAAAGAACGGUUCAAAGGUGUCACAAUUGUAGCAAUUGCACCUGGGCUGCAUUCUGUGGGCCAACUUCAAGCAGGUUCUCUUUCUUUCCGACAGCGAUCUCUAGCGACAUGACAAGGCCCUCUCGCAAUGGAUCGAUGGCAGGAUUUGUGACCUGAGCAAACCGUUGCUUGAAGUAGUCAUACAACCAAUGCGACUUUUGAGAGAGAACAGGCAUCGGAGUAUCAUCACCCAUGCUGAAGGUAGGUUCCUUCCCCUGCGACGCCAUGUUCUCUAUGACCAUUUGCACAUCCUCGCUGGAGUAACCAAAGCAUCUAGCAUAGGUCAUGCAAACGACCAUGCACAUAUAUUCAACUCCCCGUUUAACAAUGAAUCAAAUUUAACACGAAGAUAGAAUCGAAACUUCAGCGGCAAAAAUUUGAGUAUUUUGGCUCGGAUUGUAAAAUACUUUCACAAAAUAUGAACAAAAACUAUCUUUCUAUUCUGCUGAAAUUCAUCCUACAAAAUUGGCGUUGAUUGAACAGGUUACUUGAUUUUUGCAGUUAGAAAAAAAUAUAAUCAAAUUAUAUCUUGAAAAUAUGCAUUCACCAGAAAAUCCAGUAGUGCAAGAAAAGAAUUGUCGAAAAAGAUGGACAUACUGCUGUUGCUUGAACAGGGCCUCGAUGGUCAAUGAAGACGGAGAUAAAUACUCUGAUGCUUCUAAGGCUCUGCUCCCUUCUGCAAACCAUUUACUGUAGGGUUUUGCAUUUGCAACUCGCCUCUUCACUUCAGUAUUCUCAUAAAGCUACAUAGCAGAAGUUACGCAAGAAUUACAAUUUGAUUUCCUUAUCUGAAGAUUUCCCUAAUCUUCGACGUACCUAUUACUUUUCAAGAAAACCCGUAGUUCCAUUAUUCGUUGGCUGCACUAUAACUCUAUCAUGCAUGCUCUUCACCACACUCAACUUGAGAACGAACCCCUUAGUUAUCAUUUCACAUACCUCGCCUGUCUCUAGGUUCGCCGAAAUCAUCAUCCCUGGUCCCAAGCGACCUUUCAAUACUAUUUCAGAAUCAUCAAUAUCCAUUACUCCAACCUACACAUAACAAAAUAGAGUAGAUUCCAUAAGUCGAGAAGUGAUGCUGAUUCACAGCAUCAGCCGAAUCUACCACAAAAAUCUCGACAAGGACUUUCACAAUUCCUGUUAGUUGCUGCAACGCAUAGAAAUAUCGACCUGAUAAGACUUAAACUUGUAGUAACAAAAAAAGCAUCCCAGGCAUCUAACUUGUAAAUGCAUCGAGUUGAACAAAAAAAGUUGAAAUUAAUUAUUCUUAUUCUGAUAUCCGAAGGGGGAGGUGGGGGGAUAAAGAUAAUUCAGAAUCUGAAAGCUACCUCAGAAGCCACAUAUAUAAUAUCGUCUUUUGUUCGCCAAAAUCGAGCAGGACGAAGUCCAUUCCGAUCCAGACACGCUCCUACUGUCCUCCCGUUGCUACAAAUACAGGAGAUGCACCCAAUGAAUAAUUUUUAGGAUAUUACGAACACCUCAGCUAAGACGACUAAAUACUUCAAUACCAAUGCUGAAAUCAGCAAACAGCUAUGGACGUCAGAUCACCAAAUUACCUGAAAACAACCAGGGCAGGUCCAUCCCAAGGCUCCAUUUGGCCCUUGUAAUACUCAUAGAAGCCAACAGCCUGUGGAGAGGAAAAAAUUUAGCAUUCCCUAAUAAGAGUUUAUGUGGAAAUAGGCAAUCUUUGUAUUGUAAUAAGUAAGCUCAGCCUGUCUAAGCUGCCUUUCCCUAUCUAGUAUACUCACCUCAGGAUACUUGAUCUGUAGCGUGGGAUGAUUCAUGUAGGCUUCUGGUAUCAACAUCAUCAAGGUCUCCUCAGGACUACGACCACUUCUCAUUAAUAACUGCCAAUUCAAGAGUAUAGUCCAAAUUGGUUACCAAUGCAAGCCAUGGAUUAACUAACAUGAAGAAAUUGCAUGCAAUAUAAAAGAGAAAUCAGAAGAAAAGAUGCCACUUCCGCAACUGCUUGGACAUCCGUCAAAAUUGCUGAAAGUUUCAGUGUAAUACAUCUGUAAACAUAAGAAAUAUUUUACCUCGGCAACCAUGUCUAGAUUAGCCGAAUCAGAGGCCUUAGCAUUGCCAAAUGGUCUAAUGUCCUCCUCCCGUCCUCUCCAAACAGGGGAUGUCAUAGAUGCCUCCCUAGAUCGCAUCCAGUUAAGGUUACCCUACAUUAUCAAAAGAUUUUUAAAUUCAUAGAAGUAUUCACAAAAUGAUGGCUUGCGAAAGUGAGGCACCAAAGAACAAAAUCACAUAAGUACCUUACAGAAGAAUAAUACUUUAAAGACAGAGAACAAGAAACAACGUAACUUCAGUCUCCACAUAACGAUUUGCAAAUAAGAAACACACUUACAUGAUCUAAUCCUAUAGCCAUUACUAAAGUGGCUGUUCGUAAAUCAGAUAAAAACGAUAUUCACAUACCACACUCACUUUAAUUUCUAUAGGUCUAAGUCACCACAAACUCAAGCCUGUGCUAGUAUCAAACUUUCAUGACCACAUCCUUGAGGACAAUGAGAGAUUUACCUGUAUCGUGUUAAUUUCCCCAUUAUGACCCAAAAAACGCAUGGGUUGAGCAAGUGGCCAUCUUGGGCUGGUGUUCGUGCUGAAGCGUCUGUGAUAGAUAGCGAACGGGGUUACAUAUGAAUCGUUGUGAAAGUCACUAUAAAAUGUGCCUAACACGGUUGAUCGCAUCAUUCCCUUGUAUACGAUUGUUCGGCUGGAGAAAGAACAGAAGUAGAGGUCUUCACUCCAAGGCUCCUUCUCCUUGGCUUUCUCUAUUAACUUACGAGUAAUAAACAGUUCUCUUUCGAUAUCAUCCCCUGCUUGUUCCAUAGACACUUUCACAAAGACCUGUUCCACUAAUGGUAAGGUUUUCUUGGCGAUAGGUCCAAGUACUGACACAUCUACUGGCACCUGCCGCCAUCCAAGCACCUCAAUGCCCUCCUUCUCUAAAAUCCCCUCUACAACUGCAACAUAGAACCAAAUAUCGUCAGUGAGCGCGAUACAUGUUCUAUCAGCGACAGUUAGUCUCAAAAGUACACACCAGCGAGCAGCAAAACAAUGUCGCACUCUUCACCUGCUUUAGCUGCUGCUCUCGAAUCGGAGUCCGUAGGCAAGAAUACCAUGCCCACGGCCGUCUUAGCUUUAUCAGGAAGAGGGAGCCCUUGCUCUUUAAACCACUGAUCAAAUAGUUCCCAUGGAAUUCUAGUCAUUAUGCCCGCUCCAUCACCAGAAUCGUUGUCAGCAAGGCAGCCUCCGCGGUGUUCCAUGCAUCCUAGAGACUUGAGUGCAUCCUUCACAAUUUUAUGCGAAGCCUCAUUCUUCAAACUGGCGAUGAAUCCAACUCCACAAGCAUCGCGUUCGGCCAAAAUAUCUUCAAGAUUCACAACCUACAACAGAGGAGGACGUUGUGUCAGUUCGCCGCCGUGCAAUCUCGCUAUAUUGAUGACGUUUAAGUAACAUCGGAAACGAAUUUCCCUCCCAAGAUCUCUAAUUUUCUGCAAACAAGUGUUGAGACUGCUUACAUAUCUACAACUUAUGUAACCACUUUCUUUCGGUUGGCACAUUCUAGAUAACUUAAUGAGUGUGUAAACUGAAUGUUCAGAGGUAAGCAUCGACUCCAAUUCUCUGAAAUUUGGUAACAUCUGCUUCUCCAUGAAUAGAAACUCAUGCAUUGCGACCAGCAACCAGCUUCAACUCUACCCACGCGUUGGGGAAACAAGAUAUAGAGGAAUUUGUAAAUUCACCUCAUAUUUAGCAUUCUCUUUACUGAACGUAGUUGUUCCAGAGGCAUUUUCUAAGACUGCAGCACACACUGUCCUCCAGCUAUGAUUGGGCCUUGCCGUAAACUUCUUUACUGUCCUUCGAUUCAAGGUUUGCCGUCUCCUCCAACCAGGCCUCAAAUCAACGGAACCGCACCAAUCAACUCCGGCACGACACAAUGUGAGAGAUUUCGUAGAACGCAAAGAAGUUGAGAAACCCGAAGUUGACGAAAGAGUAUCUGAAUUCGGUAAUGUUCGUACAACUGGCGAGACCAAACUCGUGACCAAUGCCAUGACUCUAAAUCCUCAACCAGAAAUCAGCAGCUUAUAAACUGUCAAAAUUGAACAAGACUUAGGUUAGUUACGAAUUUUCCAUAAGUCUCGAACAGAUAAUAUUCUUAUAAUUCAUAUCAAUAUAAAUGAUGGCCUUUGUUUGAAUGCAUGUAGAAGAUGGACAGUCUCGACGCACACAAAUCAUAAAGCAAACGACGGGAUGCUUAGAGACGAAUUGGGGUGUACGAUUCGGAUCUUUAAUUUCCAAAGUAAAAAAAGGUUAAAAACAAACACUUGCAGAAUGUCCUCACCAAACGCAUAUAGUAACGACAGAGAGUACAUAAGCUUGAUGUAUUUCCUCCUCAAAGUGGACUUGCAAGAAAUCUUCGAAAUCCACCCGUUACCUUGCACAAUUCUGGUCAACCCUCUCGCGCUACCUGAACUACGGAAACCUCACAGCCAGUUUAAAGAAAUCAUCCCGAAAUAAGCAAGCAGCAUCACAGAUCCUCGUAACCGCUAUGAGGUCUAACAAAGCUACAGAAAAUUCCUAGACAGCCAACCCCAGCCGCACCUCUCAAAACAGAUAAAUAAAUAAAAAACCUCACACGAAAGGAUCGUCGUUGCAAGAAACAUCAUGAUAAAACAAACAUACUAUCAAACAUUUGCAGAUAACCACACCACGAGUCCGAUCGCCUCACCGGACGUCACCGAUCCCACAUAACACAACAUAGAGAGAGCAAAGCGGAGAACAACAAGGCUUCGAAACGCAAGACCCCGCCUAAUUCACUCCGUGAUCAUUCAUCUAAUUCUUAACAACAAGCCGAGGCUUAAACACGAGCCAACGAGGCUUAAACACGAGCCAAAUCCGCGAUGGUAUGUACCUCACAGAAUUGAAACGCCGCAAUGGGAGAAGAACAAGCAUUCGAUCGACAUAGAGGUCCUGCGACGAUCGCCUCUCUCUCUCUCUCUUUUUCACAACUGGAGACAUACGCCCUAGUGAUCCGGGGACUCUGUCACUUUCCAUGUAAACAACCAGGUUAGAACAAAGAGAACGCCGUGUGGAACGGGAGGGAACGAAAGGACUGCCACGUGGAUGCCGAGUCAGCAGUGUAGGGAGAUACCACGGUGUGAAGCAGACUCGAGAUGCUAGCCCUGGAUUCUUGUGCGGUGGAGAUUGACACCGUAAAUGCAUGACCAACGUGGAACGUCGAUUGCGUUGUGUCCCGCCUGCCACCUUUAAGCAGACUGUAGCCGUGAGCGCGAGAACGCGGCGAUCGGGAAUCAAGCGCGGUGUAAGAUGAAGGGGCUCUUUCUUAUACUUCAGUGAACCAACGGUCCAGAUCGGUAGACUCCAUCGAACGGUUUUAGCGCACUUCCUUUUCGGGAUUCCUGCCCCGGGUUCGGGAGACGAGAGACCAAGGUCGAUGAGAACCCCACAUGUUCACACUUGUCACAAACGAACGUUUCAGGGCUUUCCCACUAUCUGACUGAGCCUUAUUCCGUGAACCUUGGUGGCCUUUAACCGUGCCAAGUUCUGAGGAAUACAAACAAGUUUGUAAUCCUAGCGGUGUUACAACCAGGCUCUGUUUGCAAUAUGUGUAUACAUUUGGAAGUUUGAAUGUGUUGAGAAUGUUUUAAAGAAAGAGAGACAAUAGCAGCUAGAAGUAAUAUGCACACAUAUGUAAACACACACAUAAAAAGUGAGUUUAUUCAUAGGAUUAUAUCCUUUAUACAAAGAGAAGGGGAGAAGAUAAACAGUGUCUUUCCACUACAUUCCAAACACUGUAGCUGUCAUAGACAUACACAUGUAAGCUAGUAAUUACUUCUAUAAAUAGAUUGAAGUAAGUAGAAAUAGAUAAAAGUAAGUUAAUUCUAUUAUAUCAUCUAUAGAAGCUUCCUAAAAGCUUCAUAGAUGCUACUUUGACUUUUUAGGUGUCUAUAAUUGACUUUUUGAGUUAAAAAAGUGGUCAACAAGUUAGCCAUGUACCACACAUGUUGUUAGCUUGAAGACCAAGCUAACUAUAUAGCCCGCACAUAGAAAAACUUGUCUUGAGAGUCAAGGGAUGUGUCCUACAAAGUCAACACAUACUGAAGGUCUUAUAGAACAUUGCCAAGUAGCCCCUAUUUAGAUAGUAUAUAUAGAGGCAAGAAUGAAGCCCUCUUCACUCUUGUUAACUCUUUUCUUGUUUCUAAUCUAGUUUCAAGAGUCUCAAGUUUUCUUGUCUUUUAGCAAUAAGUCAUUCCAAUUUCUUUUAAAUAUACAUACUUCCUUAUUUCUAUUUUGUUAUUCUUUCUUUGACAUAGAUUUCAUUGGUUUAUGCAUCAUCUUUUAGUUCAUGUCCUUGACAAUAGCUAUAGUAAAUAUUAUAGACUACAAUAAAUAGUAUGGAGAGCACCAGCUACAUUUAAUACUCUCAACACUCUUCUUCAUUCGUCAUAAUAUUUAUAUGUAUAGAAUUAUGAUCUAUAUUUUUUUGUAAUCUUGUAAGAUCAAUGAUUGUUGUCUCAUUAAAACUUUUUCUAGGAAAAUCAAUUAUAUUUAAGGACAAAACCAUAGAUGAAAGAAAAAGAGUACAUCAUUAUCUUAGGAAUUCAUUAACUUUCCUGAUCUAGAAAAGCAAGUCUCCGCAUGCCGAUUCCAUAAGUAAGUCGGCAAUGGUUGCACAAAGGAAGAGCUUUGGUGAAGAAAUCAGCAAGAUUAUUUGUAAAUUCAAUUUUUUUGAUCUUAAGUAUUUGAUCAGUAAUCAAGUCAUGGAUAUAACUAAAAUAUUUUGGAUCAAUAUCCUUUUUCUUGUUUCCUUUAAUAAAAACCAAUUUUUAUUUGUGUAAAAUAAACACUAUUAUCUUCAUAUAAGAUAGUUGGAGAAUCAUUAUAUGAAAAUCCACAUGUUAUUUGAAUGAGUUUAUUAAUUGAUCGCAACCAAAUACAUUCAUGAAAUGCUUCAUGUAAGGCAAUAAUUUUUGCAUAGUUAGAUGAAGUUGCAAUUAUAGUUUGUUUCACUAAUUUCCAUGAUAUUGCAAUUCCAUGUCUUAAGAAUACAUAGCAUGUUUGAAAUUUAGGUGUUGCAAUAUCAGAUUUAUAUCAUGCAUUAGAACAUCCAACCAAUUUUGGAUUUGAAAAUCGUGUAUAGUAUAAUCCUAAAUCUUCACUACCUUUUAAAUAAUGUAGUAAAAGUUUGAUACCAUUUGAAUGUCAUAGUGUUGGAUAUUGUCGUGAUGUAAUACGACUACAUAGUGAAAUUAUAAUCAAAAUUGAAUUUCUAAUCAAUAUCUAAUUAUCUUAGUUCAAUUAUAAUUUGAGAUAACUAAACAUGGCUUUUAUAAAAGCCUCUUAGGUUAUUUUCUUAUCUUAAUAGUUAAUAGGUUGACAGUUAGUAAGUAAUUUUACCUUCUAGAUUGUAGAGACUCUUCUACUAUCUUAGAAAGAGCAUAAAUUGAUAAAAUCAAAGUAGAAGAGAUAAAUGGUUGGUAUGAUUAAUACUAAGGUCAAGUUAAGGAUAGAAUUGGGCUAAAAAAUCUUUAGGAUAAGUUAAAUUGAUAUCUGAGGGUCGACCAUUUAUGAGACAAGGUCAAAAUUAGACCUCUGAUUACUAAAACGACCAGUGAAGGCAAGUUAGGGAUUUAUUCAAAGAUCAGAGGAUAGGAUUUGAAAGGUAGCUUGAAGUUCCUUCCAAAGGCACAAGGAUUUUUUUUGGAGGGUUUUUGAAGACUUAGCAAUUAUUAUUCAAAGUUAGGGUUUGUAUCAAUAAUUUGGAUUUUAUGUAAUAUAGUUAAGGCUAGUAAUUUUAGCUAGUUUGUGGAAUUGGUAUAACAUCUACAAUUGAAAAUUUGAUACUAUUUGGAUUAUUAAGUGUGCUAAGUAUAUACAAAAUUUUGUGGUAAUUUAAUGGCGUGGUUUAGCAAUAUCUAGUUAUUAGCACAAAAAGAUUUCGGAAGGUGACAGUUUGAGGUUGGAUAGGAUUUCUAUGAUAUGUGAAGAUCUAUCAACUGGAUUAAGGUAAAAAUUAGCAUGGUGUUGAAAGACUUGAAGAUCAAGCUACAUAUGAAUUUUGAGACAAAGUUAAUAGUUAGAAAGGGAGAAAUCACUGCUAGGAUUUUUGCUUCACUUUUCAAGUUGAUGGCCAAGUAACAUUAGUGCAAUUUUUGGAGGUUUUCUCACAAUUUGUAAGUUGGAUUGGACUAAAAAUUCUUGAGCAUAUAGAAGACUUACAUUGAAAAUUGCAUGCAAAAUUCUACAUCAAGUGGACAAUUAGAUUGGAUGUUACAGCUUGUUAAAGCUCACUGAUUAGGAUUGGGGCUUACAAGAAAAAUCUAAAUUGCUUAAAUAUGAAAGUAACAAGGUAAUUGGAGUUUAUGUAUAGUUAAAACUAUUAAGAAGAGUUUUUUUAGCACUUUUGAAUUGAAACUCAGAUUAUAUUCUUCUCAUAUGGACAAAAUCUAUUAGGAUUUCUUGGCUACUUGUAAAACACAAUCUCACCUUCCACAGCUAGGUGACAGGUGCAUUCCUGAGUAAGACAACACGUAAUACAACAAUGUGCACUAUGUCUUGCAAGAACACUAAGUGCGAAUGCAAUAUUUGGUCUGAUAGAUGUGGCUAAAUAUAAAAGUGCUCCAAUCGCUACGAGGUAUAUAUAUUGCUCUUAUAAUAUUUCUUCCUCCUCCUUGCACAAACGAUAUGGAUUAUGACCAUUAUGACCUCAUCCAAUCAUUGGUGUGGAUAAUGGAUAAGCAUCAAUCAUAUUGAAUCUUUGUAAGAUUUGUCUAAUAUAAAUUAAUUGAUAGAAAAAAAAUGCUACAAUCUUUGAAAUGCAUAAUCUGAAGACUAAUGCAGAAAGUUAUUUUUCUUAGUAUUUUUAUCUCAAAUUCAUAUAUAAGUAGAUAAGUAGGUGCAAUACAUGCAGAUCUAAUCUCCAAUACGAUAAAAUCAUCAACAUAUAUAGCAAUAAUUACAAAUCCUAUUUUAUUUUGUUUGAUAAAUAAAUAAGGGAUUAGUGGAUCAUUUACAAAAUUAUUUAUAAUUAAAUAAUCUUGGAGACAUUGAUACUACAUGUGUCCAGAUUGUUUUAGAUCAUAUAUGGCCUUAUGUAAUUUAAUACCAUGAUAUCAUCUUAUAGCACGGAUAUUUGGAAUUCCUCCUUUCAAACCACAUGGAGUUUUCAUAUAAAUAUUUGCAUCAAAUGAACCAUACAAAUAUGCAGUUAUCACAUCUAUGAGACGCAUUUCAAGGAUGGCAUGAACUACCAUUCUAAUAAUAUAUUGGAAUAUAAUUGAAUCCAUGAUUAAAAAAUAUGUAGAUUCAUAAUCAAUGCCAAAUUAUCAAGUAAAUCCUUGAGCAACAAGACAAGUUUUAUAACAGGUUAUUUGAUUUUUAGCAUCUCUCUUGCAUAUUAAUAUCAUCUUAUAUCCCACAAGGCAAGAAGUAAGAAUGUCCACAAUUGGACUGAAGACUUUUGUCUUAUGCAAAGAAGCAUAUUCUUCCUUGAUGGUAGUUUUUCAUUUUAAUUAGUGAGAGCGACGUAUUCAUUCCUAAAUAGUUUGAGGUUCAGGAUCUUCCUUCUCAUAAGAAAGAACUUCUGUCAUUAUGAAUGAAAAUGAUUCAUCUAUUAUAAUUGAUGGUCUAUCCCAAAGGUCAUUUGUAGUACAAUAUAGAACGGAUAAUUCUAUACUCAAUUCAGUUUUAUUUUUUCUAUUUUCAAAAAAAAUUAUAGAAUGAAAUAAAGGUAUAAUGUGCAUAGACAUAUUGUCAUUAAUUGGUGGUCCCAUAAGUGUAGUAGGAACUUCUAUAGAAAUAAUACGAGAAUCAACACAUGUUAUAGCUUUCUUUUUUCAUGGUUGCUUAUUUGGUCCAUGAGUCCUUUUAAUUAGUAAUGUUUUAACUUGAGCUAUAUUUGUUAGUGGUAUUUCAAUCCGAGCAAGUUUAUUUUGAGUCUCAUUAAUUGGAACUCUUGUAAUUGGAGACGCAUCAUUGAAGCCAUCAAGUGUUUUAUUUAAAAUCCAUUUUAGAUACAAAAUCUUUGUAACUUCACUUUUAGCCAAAGAUGUUCUAAUAUUAGGAUUCAUUGUAAAUAUUUUUGGUACUCCAAAUACAAGUAUUGUAUUUUUUUGUUGAUUAAAUACUCUUCCUAGAAGAGAUGGAAAUAUGUUCUCUUUGAAAUGGAAAUUUUGAAAAUGUGCAUAUAACAAUGUGUUAGUUGAUGGGUCAACUAAACAAAUAAUACAUUGUGAAUCAAAACCAAUAUAUAUGCCUUCUUGUCAAUGAGUUCCAAUGGUAUGCUGUUGAAGUUCUAGUAUUGGAACCCAAGUACGGCAAUCAAAUAUUUAUAGGUGAGAUACAUUUGAAAUACGACAUGAAAUGAGCUCUUGUGGUAUAAUAAUUUUAAGAAAACAAAGACAGAGACGUAUUAGUGCUACAACAUACAAAACUACAUGACUCCACAUAGAUGCAGGUAAUUUGUAUGAAAAAAGAGUGGCCAUGUAAUGAAUUAUAUACACUUUAUAAAUGACUCUACAAGUCCAUUUUGAACACAUUCAUAUGGAACACAAUAUAUCAACUCAAUCCUUAUUGUAGUACAAUAGUCUUCAAAAGACUUUGAUGCAAAUUCUUUUGCAUUACUUAUAUGUAAUGUUUUGAUAGGAUAAUCAAAAAAAUCUACUUGAAAAUAAAUAAGCAUGGAUAUAAGAUUAGAAAAUACCAUAUUUUGAGUUGAUAAUAAUGAAACAUGUGAUUGUUUGCCUAAUGCAUCAACAAGGACCAAAAAAUAAUGAAAUGGUUAAGAUAUUAGAUUAAUAGGACCACAAAUAUCACCAUACAAUCUUUCAAGUAUUAGUAGUAAUUCUUUUGGUAGUUUCCAAAUUGAAGACCAAGUAAGCAUCUUGUCUUACACACAUGUACGACAUAAUUUCAUAGAAUCUAUAUCUACAAAUCUUAAAUUAUGUUCAAUUAUACAUAGAAUUAUCUUCCAAAAUAAUGUAGAUCCUAGAUGUCUCAAUCAUCCAUGCCAAAGAGAAAUACGAUUCUUUGUUAUAGAUGAUGCAAAAUUAAAUAUAAUAGGAGGUCGAAUUGUAAUCUGGUAUAAACCAUUUGUUGCAACAAAGGCUGUUUCUACAACUUUAUGAUUCCAUUCAAGAACCAAAACCUCUUACCUAUCUAAAAUUGCAGUUGAGAGGUGAUAACCAUUGACACAUAUAUCUCGAUAACUAACCAGAAUCUAAGGUGUUAAAGGUGCAAAUAUUAUAUAUUAAUAUUUUAUGAUAGAGCCCACAAGAAAUUUUACCAUUGUUAUUCCCUCUUGGAAAUAAAAUGCAUUCGUUUGAGCCAUAGUCAUCAAAUUUUUAGUUUGCUAAGUUGAAAAUUUUUCAAUAAAAAACCAUCUAUCCUUCGCGAUAGUAUAUAUUGUUGUAAAAUCAAUGAGUGUAUCAUUUGAUUCAUCAUUAGAGAUUUUGUCAUUCAUAUAAGCCUCUAAAUCAUUAAUACCAAUUGAAUCCAUGGAUGCAUCAAUAAUAUAAACUUGAGAGCCUUAGCUUGAAGUUUCUUAUUUUCUUGGAACAUUUCAAUAAAGUAUUUUGAAGUACAGCUUGCAUGUGCCAAAUGUCCAAUCAUUUAAUAUUUAUGGCAAGAAUGCAUCUUUGAUUUUUGUUAUCUACUAUAAUUAGUUGUAGAAUGUUUAUUCUUUCUAUAUAGUUGGAAAUGGUCAUGACCAUAAUUGACCUGAUGCUAAUCACUAUUUUUUCCAAGUUUGUAUAAUUGUUUCUUAGACUUUGGAAUAUUAAGUACAUGAGAUUUUUGGAACUGUGGUUCCAAUAAGACAAGCUUCUGCAUUACAUAAGAAUAGCUCAUUUUAUUUCUCCACAAGAAAUAGAUAGGACAUGAGAUUAUGAUGACUCUAAAAUUUCAUAUUCUUAUAUUGUUGUGCAAGCUUAUCAGAUGCAGGAGGAAAUAUAGAGAGAGUUUUCUCAAUCAUUUUAUCUUCAGAGAUGUUUUGUCUACAUAAUCAUAGUUGUAAGACAAUAUAAUAUAUUUCACUAUUGAAAGCAUUUAAAUUUGGAAAAUCCAAGACAAGUAAAUGUAUCCAAUCAUGACAUAUAUAUAGAAGAAAAUUGGUCUUUUGAUGAUUAAAUCUAGAUUUAAGAUUCUCCUAGAGCUUGGUUGAAUCUUCUAUUUUUAAAUAUUGAUGUUGUAAUGUAGGUAUAAGAUGUCGGCAAAAGAGAAGAAGUACUUUCCAAAAAAUAGUAAUAAGAAUUGAAGUACUAAUAGUAGAAGAUUCUUCAAACAGAAUUAUAUCAAAUAGUUGUUUUGUAAAUAAAUUUACUUUUGCCAUUUUUGUCUAUAAUAGAUAAUUCUUUCCAUCAGCAGCCAAUGGUAGAAAUAGAAGGGCUUGAAAAUGUUGGGAUGCAAUGGUGAUAGUUGGAAACAUAAUAGAUGUAGUUGAGGAUGUUGAAGCACUCAUCAUAAAUAAAUCUAAGAACAAAAAAAUUCUAGUUCAAGUAGAAAAGGUUGAAUAAAAUGUACCUUAGAAUGUAAAGCCAAAUAGAAUGAUAAAGUUGAAACUUGGAAUCAAAAAUUAUAUAUAUAUAUAUAUAUAUAUAUAUAUUUUUCUUUUUUUUCUUUCUUUUUCCACAAAAAUAAGGAUCUACGAUGGACUGCAACAAGGUACGUUAUGGCACAACAAUUCAACAGUAGGGUGCAGUAGUCGGCUGCAGGAUGUAUCAAUUAGUGGCAAUUGGCAACAAUAGUCAAUGGCAAUCGAUGGCAACAACAGCAACAAAAACAAUAGCAGCAAAAGAACAAAAAAAUACUAGUUCAAGUAAAAAAAAUUGAGUAAAAUGUACCUUAGAAUGUAAAGCCAAAUAGAAUGAUAAAGUUGAAACUUGGAAUCAAAAAUUUUACAACUAUAUAUAUAUAUAUAUAUAUAUAUACUUCUUUUUUUUCUUUUUUUUUUCCACAAAAAUAAGGGUCUAUGGUGGACUGCAACAAGGUGCGUUAUGGCACAACAGUUCAAUAGUAGGGUGUAGUAGUCAGCUGCAAGGUGUGUCAAUUAGUGGCAAUCGGCAGCAAUAGUCAGUGGCAAUCGAUGGCAGCAACAGCAACAAAAGCAACAGCACUAAAAGAACAAAAAAAUACUAGUUCAAGUAGAAAAGAUUGAUUAAAAUGUACCUUAGAAUGUAAAGCCAAAUAGAAUGAUAAAAUUGAAACUUGGAAUCAAAAAUGUUACAAAUAUAUAUAUAUAUAUAUAUACGUUUUUUUUUUCUUUUUUUUUUUCCACAAAAAUAAGGGUCUGUGGUGGACUGCAACAAGGUGUGUUGUGGCACAACAGUUCAACAGUAGGGUGCAGUAGUCGGCUGCAAGGUGUAUCAAUUAGUGGCAAUCGACAAUAGCAGACAGUGGCAAUCGAUGGCAGCAACAGCAACAAAAACAACAGCAGCAACAGUAGUAGCAAUAACAAAGGACACUAACACAAGCAACAACAACAACAACAUAGGAGAAAACAAAAGAAAAAAAUGCACAUAAGUUUUUAAGAACUAAGAAUUAAGACUAGAAUAUAAAAGCAAUCGUGCUGAUAACAUGUUGAAAAUGUUUUAGAAAAAGAGAGACAAUAGUAGAUAGAAGUAAUAUGCACACAUAUGUAAACAUACACACACAAAAAGUGAGUUUAUUGAUAGGAUUAUAUCCUUUAUACAAAGAGAAGGGGAGAAGAUAAACAAUGUCUCUCCACUACAUUCCAAACACUAUAACUACAAUAAAUACUAUAGACUAUAAUAAAUAGCAUGGAGAGCGCUGGCUACAUUUAAUGCUUUCAAUAGAAUGCAUUAAAUCUGUGAAAUUAUAGCUAAUUAGUUAUGAAUUAUCAUUGUGAAAUUAAGAAAAAGGUUAUUAAUUGAUAAAGAGAUAGAUUGAUUCAAACGUUGUAGUGAGAUUUUAUCAGUUUGGAAUAAAAUUUUGACAUAUUAGUUGAUAAUUGGUAAAAUAUGCAAAGCCCUAAAAUUGGAAGGGCAAAACAAAGGUUGAAGUAAUGUCCUGGGAUCGGACGCGCUGAGCUCAAGCAAUCGAUUCGACGACAGUGCGGAGCUGAUUCAUGUUCAAGAGGCUCCUAGAAUCAGUUUUCCAACACAGGACAUGUCAUAAAAUCUUCUUAACUAACACGCAUCCUGCAGCUUAUGAAGAGGAAGUCCGAAGUUCCUGAUUGUUUGUAGAGAGAGCUGCAGUCCGAGUGCUGCUGGGGUUGCCGAGUUUGCGCAAGUUAGACUAGGGAGAACGGAUUGUCGUUGUUGAGGCAGUCCUAGGACAUUGGAGAUUCAUGUGGAGACCAUGAAGGGAUGAUUUCACUCGUCAUGAGCCUAGGAAAUAGGAGUUCAGAAAUUUAGGUGUACAUUUCUAAUUUCCAAGUGAAAGCCUACUGCGCACUUAAGAGGAAGAUCCAGAGCCAAGUCGAGCUCCUUGCCUAGCAACCCCGUGCCCGAGCAGAGCUUUACUGCGUCGAUCGCCGCACACCAUGUCAUCAGUCAGUUUGAGAGGUUCGCCAUCGGAUAGUCCAAUCUGGAAAAAUUGCUCUGUGGAUCUAUGCAACAGAACUUGGAAGGUUGCGUGUCUUCUGCGAGGAGAUACGGCGCACUGGAGACCCAUGCAUUAAGUGAGAAGGAGGAGGAGGAGGACACACUGUUCGCGCACAGCUGAACGCCAUUGCUAUGGCCAGAACCAGAGCUUUAACUUACUACAAGGACAGUGAUCUUCGCAAUAGGCACAUCUAGUUUGGCAUGAUGCUCAAAAACUUCAAGCAAUGGAUCAAAAACUGACACUGCAGUAAGUCAGAGCAUUGUUCAGUCUCAUCUGUCAAGUCCAGAUGUAUGGUCUCUGGCCCUUCCAAACUUCUAUUCGUCUGCAGGGUGUGAGGUUUAUCCUCUUUGCGUGCUGUGCAAUCUUAAAGUCACAUUCCGGCGGCGCCACUUGCAUUUGUCAUAUUUUCUUUUCUUUUCAUCUCUUUUUUUUUUCUUUUUUUUUUUUUUUUUUCUCCUUCUUCUCCUGACGCACAACAUCUGUCCCUCUGUCUCUCUCUCUCUCUCUCUCUCUCUCGAUUUCUGGGUCAUAGAGGAGAGGUGCAGACAGGUCUUCUGUUCGGGGUGACAACCGAGGAAUGAGAUGGAGCAUGUGACUCUCGCUGCAUCGAAUCUUUUCGAACAGUCUACGAGAAUCUCGCAUUAGGGGGACGAACGGACGACGUGCAUCUUCAGGGACGUUUUCGUCGCGAUCUCCGACGUCUGCUUCGACGACGUCACCCUUGACUUUUACUUUUUCUCUUUGCCUUUUAAUAGUUAAGAAGUUUUUGCCACUUCUCUCUUUUGUGUUUGCUUCCUUCCUUUCCCUUUUAUUUUAUCUUUCGAAGAGAGGGAGUUUAAGGAAAUUAAUGAUGAUGAUAAUAAUAAUUGUGGUAAGAAUAAUAUCACAUAAUUGUGUGCCUAAAUAUGAUUAUUAAUAUGAAAAAAAUAAUAAUAAAUAAAUAACUUGAAAUUAGGAAUCCACUAAUUGUAGGUUGAUAAAAUAAAGACAAUCCUGAGUAAUUCAUUUUCAAAUUUAUUGAGGAUUUGAAUAAAAAGAAUAAAAAUAAAUUACUUUUAAAAAAUAAUAAUGUAUUUAUGAUUAAUUUAUUCAAAUUAUAUUAGAUAAAAGUAUAUAUAAUGGUAUUAAAUAUAAAAACAUAUAUAUAUAUAUAUAUAUAUAUAUGUCCUCAAUAAAAUCCGAAAUUUUAUUUUUUUUAUUGAUAAUAAUCUAUUAUAUAAUAUGCUUGUAAAUUUGAUUUUCUUUACUUUAGGAAAAAAAUUAAAAAUAAAACUAAACUAAGUUCACACCAAAUAUAGACAUAAGCCAAUGGAGCCACUUUUCAAACUAUUUUUUGAAGUUUUUUGAAUUGAAAAUUAUAGGUUAAAAUUAAUUUAAAAAAUAAUACUAAUAAUACUAAUAAUAAUAUAUGUAUAUUUUUAAUUUUUAAUUUUCUAAAAUUAAAUUUAAAUAUUAUUUAAUAUUAUUUUUGAAGAAAUUAUAUUAUUUCAUCUUAUUUUUAGUUAAAUUAUAUCACUUAGAUAUUAUAAGGCAUAAUAUAAUCAAUCAAUUUAUAAUGUUAUUUUCCACAUUUUACUAAAUAGUUACUAAACCAUAUUGCAAAAUUUAACAAAAUAUUUAUACACAAUUUAAUUUAAAGCCUUAAAUAAUUAUAUAAUAUAAUUUUUUAAUAUGCAAGUAUAAAUACAAAUAGAUAUAUGUAUAUAUAAUUAUACAUAUAUUAAGUCUUUGUACUUUUGCCAAUGAAAAAUAAGUAUGCUUUGGUAAGGCUUACAACCACACAUGAGCUUAUGUAAUCACAAAAUUUACAAGACUAUAAGAGUAUCAUCAAAGCUUCACUAUCACUAAGUGUGAUAUCCAUAUGCAUUAAAUAUUGCUUGCAAUCUUCAGGGCAUUUCAUUUAUCCAUUUAUUUAUAGUGACUUAGUCAAUGAGGUUUCAAUCUUCUUAAGGUGCUUCAAAAAAAUAUUGGGUAUCAUGAAGUCUCUUAUUUCUUUGCAUCAAAUAAUAUCUAAGGUGUUGUUUGAGAAUCAUCCCACAAUUCUCAAUUAAAUUGAAGUUUAGAGAAUUGGAUGGUAAAGAUAGUUAUGCAUAGCCACACUCUCUUUAGAUUCUUGUGUUUUCAAGCCAUUAGUGCCAUCUUGUUCUAUUUGCAACUAAGAAGAUAUGAUGCAUCUCAUUGUUUAAAAUACAAAUGAAAAGAAUAAAAUAAGAUUUGUACAAUUCUCAAGCAAAUUGCACAAUAUUAAGAUCAAGUCUAUCACAAGGAGUAACAUGCUCCAUCUUUGUAUUAAGGAUAUGAAUCUCGAAGAAAGGAAAUUCUCCAUACAAUCUUGUGUCAUUGAAGAAAACUAGAAAGUCACUCAAAAGGUGAUGUAAUAUUUAACUAGAAUGGCUAUUGCCAAAAAUAAGAAGACUAGAAAGUCUUGAAACAAGACUACGAACUAGAGAAGCAUUGACAAGAAUGAAGAAGGCUUCACUCUUGCCUCCUUAUAUACUUAUAAUUAGAAGCUAUGUAGCAAUAUCCUACACGACCUCCAAAACAUGUUGACUUUAUUAACCACAUGUCUUAACUUGCAAGGCAAGUUAUUUAUGUAUGUACCACAUAGUUAACUUAUUCCACAAGCUACUACACUAAGUUAACUUGUUCCACAAGCUACCAACACAUGGUUAGCUUGUUGUCCAAGUUUCUAACCUACAAACAUAUCUAAAGUCAAAACCGCAUCUAUGAAGCUUCUAGAAAGAUCUCUAAAAGACUUUAUGAAAUUAAUCUAUGUUUACAUACUUCUACCUAAUCAUAUAAAUAACUAUUGAGAUAAAUGUAUAUGUCUGUGACACUUUGUUAUCUUCUUCACUAAAUUAUCUUAUAACAGCCUUCUUUUGUAAAUACAUAUAAAAAUGUCAAUAUUUGCGGUCUCAAACUUGAAACUAGGUCUCAAAUUCUUCUUGUAUAGUUCUUCACCUUAAUAUAUAUAGACCUUCUUCCUUGUAGGACAUGGAUCAUAGACUAUAGUAGUCUUAUCAAUGAAAUAAAUCCUAGUCCAGUGCUCUAAAUUCUACUUACAAUAUCUAUGAACAAAUUCUCAAUGUUUUUUUUUUUUUUUUUUUUUUUGUCCUAAUGUCUUUUAGAAUUUCAGUUGGAUCACCUUGAAGUAGAAGCCACUAAUAGAAACAAUCUUGCAAAUGCUUGAAAAAAAAAACUCGACAUUUGCUUUUUUUGAAAUCUAUUGCAAAAAUAACCUAAAAUCCUCAUCUAUUACUUCUUCUACUAUCCUUCUCACAACUCUUGUAAUUUUUUGUAGAUGACCUUUGCAAGGAGCAACUUGUUGCAUAUGAUUGUACAUAUAGACAUACAUAUAAAUAUAUGCAAAUAAUUUUUUAAAUACAUAAGAAUUUUUUUAAAUAGAUAAAAAUAAAACUUAAAAACUUAAAAAAUUACUUCAUUUUUAUGUAUAUAAUAAUUAAAAUUUUAUAUGUAUAAUAAAAAAAAUUAUACCAAUUAAACAUAAUAACAUUUGGAUGAAUUGUAUCAAUAACCAUAUCAAAUUGUUUUUAUCAAACUUGGUACCAAGUGCAUAUUUCUUAGAUCUAUUGCAUUUAUCUAAACAAUAUAAGUUCAUUUUUAGCAAUCCAAGAUUAUCAUCAAAAAUUAAAAUAUUAAGUUUUUUUAAUAAAAAAUUCUUUAUUAAAACCUAGAAAAUUUUCCAAGAGGAAACAUGGAUGUGCUUGAAUCUUCAACAAACAAACAAGACUAUGUCAUUGCAGGGACGUAAUAAUAAUAAGACAUAAUAAUAACAAGACGCUCAACACUUGCAAGGACCAAAAGAGGACCUCAUGAAAGAGCUAAUAGUUGGAGAAGAGGUGCACCAGGAGAACUCAACGUUUUUAUUAGUGAAUAUCCUCUUGUGCUCCCACACUUGUUCUCAUUUGUAGGCCCACCGAUGCAACUUCAUUAGAGGUGAACAGAGAAGGUUAGGACACAAGGUCAAGGUCAGUAAUAGAAAUUCAUGGCUGAGUCAGGAACAAAAAAACAGACUAAAGGCAUGAAAUUAGGGUUUCGGUUUGACCCAUAAACUCUGACGCAAUCAGUUGUCACCAUGUAACACUUCUUCAGCACGUCAGUCCCAGUUUACCCUAAUCGUUUGACAUCGGUGCUGUGCAAAACGCUCUCGCAUGUAUCGAUAUCCAAGAUCUGAAGAUGAUGACCUCAGAGCGUGCAUCAUCUUGGGAGUAAGACCUCCAUUUACUUUACAAGAAACCUGUAUCUCGUUUCACUGUAAGCUGACCCACUUGACGAUGACGAUGACGAUAGAGAGGCGUAAGUUGAUAGAUUUCGGAUGAAUCUGCAGUACAAAUUAGCACCCUAGGGUGUGAUCUACGCUCAAUUGCAGUUUUGUGUUUUUCUACCAACUCAACAUCUUUCAGCAACGACCAUGGUGAUGGCGAAGAUGACUGGAUUGCUUGGUUUUCUCGUGGCCUUGGUGAUGGUGGUGAGCUCUGGCGCCCAAGCAGCGCGUUGCUCACCCCAGUUCCCUUUGAGCUGCGCAUCAUAUGUUCUUGACGGUCGGGCGGUACCUUUGAAAACUUGCUGCAUUGAGCUCCAGGACAACUUCAAGAUACUCGACCCCAAAGCAAGCUUGAAGCCGUAUUGCGAUGCCAUCGUAGGAGUGAAGCUUUUCAAUGGACCCUUAGCUGGAAAUGAGCUGAACUUGGCUCUCAACCUCCCCAACAAAUGUGUCCUAAGUGGCCAAUACAAGAAGGGCCAAACAUGUGCUGGUAAGUGGCCUACUCUUCAUUUCCUUUGCCCAUUGCAUCCUCUUCUGCAAUCUCCGCAAUGUAGAUGCUGCUUGCAACUUUUCGCUACCACUGAACCACACCUGAUGGUCACAACCGAAACUUAGCCUCCAGAGUGUUCAUCUCCUCAGCGACAAUUUGCUUGUGCGUAGUGCUUUUUCCGGAAUGAUAUAGCAUGAUUCUAUUGUCAUCUCCAUCAUCGCCGCAAAGACUGGUGAAGGCCAUGACUGGUUCAUCAAUCUGGGUUGUGUUGUGCAGGCAAACCUUUUCCAGGAGGCAGCUAGACUUAUCCAGCGAGAGCUCAAUCUGCAAAGCCUGCUGCUCUCUUUGCAUUUACAACCAUCUGGCAGAGAGCAGUGGCUUGCGGCGAAGGAUAUCUGCUGCUGAAAUGAUUGCAAUGCCAUACUUGCAUAGGUUCGAGAGUAACGUAGCUGGAUAACCAAAGGUCUCGAACGGGAAAUGGCGAUAUAAAGUUUUGGUGACUUUUUAUCGUUUUUGUUGAAUCUAUCGCCCAAUCGUGUGAUUUGCUUCAUCGGUGUUGGUUGUCUGUUGAUAAAUCUGCAACUGCGUCUUGUGGUCUGAUGUUGCUCAGUAUUGUGAUGGUCGGAAUGGUGGCGAUUUUGCUGAGUGUUGACCCACUUCUUGUGAGUUAAGAGCUGAGGUUCUCAUCUUGAACAAACAUUCUUUCCGAGGGCAAUAUCCUACUCCUGUAUUUAUCCAUUUGCACUGUAUUUAUCCAUGGAAAAAUCUAAGUUAGAAUUACAGCUGUAGUUCAAACGAAAAGUUAAAGAAUGUAUACGUUGUGUAGAAGUAGAACACAGUACUGAUAUUAAAAUUGUGAUGUUUAAAUACAAUCUUUCCUUGUUCGUGUUGCUAAACUUCACCACAGUGGCCGAGAACAUGGAUUGGACCUAGAUUGUUCCAGGUAAUGCAGUUGUUUCAGCGACACAUGUAUUCCGACAUACUGCUAAUGUUGUAUUACUGAUCUGUGGUUGUACAUUUCUAAACCAAUCAAAAACACACUUCAAGGUUCAAUUCAACAUGUGUGUGACACUCUUCUCAGUGUGACGAAAUAUGCACGUAGGGAAAAAGUCUCCGGUUCCUUCGGUGUUUGGGCUCCAGAAGACAAUCGAUUCCUGUGUUGGUUGCCUUGCGAGUUUUCGUUAGCUGAGUCUCCUUCUAAAAUUUUGCAUCCAUAUUUCAAGCUUAUGGCUGAGUUCUUCACUUAUAUUAACAAACAACCAUCAUCUACAUACAUCAGCCAAGCACCAGUAAAUCAACUACUUAGCCAGACACUGGUAAAGUUCUAUAAUCAAGGAUUAGAUUAUUGCAUUGACAUCAUCGCAGAGAAGGAUAAUGGUCUCAGUCCAGCUACAGCAGAAAUCUAAUAGUUGUCUGCAAAAACUCUGCCCAUCUUGACACUCAAAAGACAGAAUGGAUAGAUAUAUUUGUGCGUGUGUAGAUAUAUACUUACAUAUACAUAUAUAUAUAUAUAUAUAUAUAUACAUGGAGAGAGAGAUAGAGGGAGGAAGAGAGAAGGUGACAGACGUCUCUCUUUCAAAGCGAAUGUGCAGAGAAGUAAGGCCGCAAAAAACUGAAAGUACCUGCACGCUGACUUUUCCACCUCUACUGGACUCUACGGUUCGUAUCUGGCAUUUUAUUUCUGGAAUUGACCAUGAACCAAUUAUCCUAACAGAAAUGAGGAAAAUGAUGCAAGUACAUGAAAACACAAAUAGUUCCUAAAUAUAUAUAUAUAUAUAUAUACACAUACAUACAGGCAGUUUGGGAGUUGUGAGCUAUAAGCAACGUCAUUUUACUGUCUAAAAAGCGGCGGUUAAGUUUACAGUGACGAAAAUGCGAACCUUACAUAUUUGACUGAAAUACCCUCUCAAAUGCAACUGAACACUAUGAGAAUAAAGUUAAUGAACCUAUGAUGGCGAUCCACAACAUGAAACACGUAAAGGUUAAACUAAAUGCAUAGCAAACGCUGUGGCAUUCAAAAGCGCUGGUGAAGCAAAGGCGAGGUCCCAGUAAAAGGUCAAUGAGAUAACACAGAGAGAGCUCAUUUGUGUUUUCUGCAAUAGUCUGAAGUUCAUGACCUACUUCAGGAACGUCAACAUCUGGUCUAUGGGUUCUUUCACAGUCCAAGGUUUAAUGAAACACUGAACUUCUAAUUCGAAAAAAGAGUGCCAGGCGCUGCAAUCACUGCUCUGGCUGCUUCAAUGUAAUUUUCUCAAGCAGCUUCGCGUAUUACUUCGAGUGUAACAACGAUAUCAGUCGCUGGUCUUCCUUCAACCAGACGCAUCACGCAUUCCGACAGGCGCAUCAGAAGUUUCCUCCAAUAUACAACAAUUCCACAAGAGUCUCACACAGACCUUCACAAUCCCAUCCUACUUCUCAACACACCUUUUCAAACCGAUCCAACCUGUAAAGACACAUACAACGAAUACAUGACUUGAAUGAAUUCGAACCCCGACUUGCAGAACGACUCAGGCCAUAGCAUUGAGAAGUCACAGAAUGUGAGCCUUCCGAAGGCGGCGAUGGCGACCUAAUCGAGAGCUAGCUGGAAAGAUGAAGGGCACGGCAGAGACGAGAAUACAGAGGGAUUAGUUUGCAAGACGACUGCACUUCGCAGGGGGGGAAAAUGAAACUACACGAAUAUACAUUCCAGCCCUUACCAAUUUCAUUAUCCACCUGCAGAUGAAAACCACUUGAAAGCAUCGUUUGGACAAGCAAAGAUUAUCGUAAGAUUGUGCAAUUACGAAGCAGGAAGUUGGAGCCUAAGGAAUGAGUUGAAUGCGAUGUGCAUCGCAUGGACACGAGAAAAACUGGAGAAUAAGAUUUGCCCGACAUGGAUUUUAAAAGCGCAGACCAAAACUUGCAAAUCCAGGAUUCUGAAAAGAGCAGAUGCUCACAUUUAGUCAAUGCGAGCCGCUUCAAUUGUGCAGUAAGACUGUUUCACUCCAGUUGCUCAAAUCAAUGAGAAAUAUGCACCGACACAAAGACCUUAAAGAACCCCAGACAUUUGCUUAAUUCUCACUACUUAAGAAAUGAUGAAAAAAGAAUAUCCAACAGUCUAACAUGAGCUUCGUCAAACCCCCUGUAACCAAUGUAAACUUUUCCAUCCACAAAACCAUUUCUACUGUUUCUUUCAAUCCAUCAAGAUUUGGGAAGAAUUGCAUCCUAUGCAUUUGGAAUGUAUAAUUGAAUAGUUCUAUUGAACACUCUCAUUAAAAUUCAGAAGGAUUCCAGUGUAUACGAUUGGAAACUGACACUACACUUACAGGAGAAAAUUUUGAACUUGUGUAGUAAGAAAAUUAUUUGGUGAGGUAUUCGCACAAGAGAUUGGAUGAUCAGAAGAUGCACACUUUCAGAUUUUAUAUUGAAAUAUCUAUGCUACAAUGGUGUCACAUUCAUGUGCGUAGGUAUUAAACAUGCGCAUCUUCAGAUACACUCGAAAACUACGAUUCAUGCAACAUUGUUCAGUCACUGUUCGAGGUAUGCUCGGUAGAGUAUAUUGUCUACCUACAACACAACAAUCAUUCGAUUUUCAAUGCAUUAUAGUGGAUAUCGCGGCUGAAUGUAACAUUUCCCGAGGAAUCUAGACUACUCUGUUUACUUAAGUUAUUUGCGCUUCAAGUAUAUUCCAUGAUCGGAGUAGUGAAUCAUUGCCAGAGGAAGAGAACUUGUUUACUUUCCACCUCCUUCAUCUACCUGGUAGGGUCUACAACGGGGAAUAUUGAUCAGUUGCCACGCAGCUAAUAUCAGGACAUCAUGACGAGGGGAGUGUAAGCUUCACAUCAGCUCGAUUGGUCGGGUGUAUCGAAAAUACUAAGUGAUCUGGUUCUCAUUUAGACACUAUUUACAUGAACACUUGUGGCUAGGCAUUUAUAGCGAGGAAUUUAUAGCGAGGCAUCACAUACAGUAAUAGAGGAGGAAAGUGCCCGUCGGUAUUAGACCCUUCAAUAAUCUUAUUAUGCAUGAAACCUUCCCGUUUAUUCAUAUAAGAUUCCAAAGAGGAAUUCCAUGGCUUCGUUUUUAGAAUUUUGUGGAUUAACCAGCAUGCCCUAGCAUCAAAACCAGAACUGCCAUGCCCAUUCCACAAACAGACACUAGUACAGGUACCACGAGGGGCUAUCCUACUUUAGGAACAGUAAAGGACGAUCCCUUGUUCUGCACUGCAGAAAGAUCACAAAAACAAAUAACAAGUAACAGGUCUAACAUAGUCGCCACCAACGCGACCUGCAGGCAGGUCCAACGACCCCCACAGCAAAGACGGUCAAAUCUCGGGUGGCUUUCCCAGUGAACAGUUGCAUCUCUCCCGGCCGCAAACAGUAUCAUCCUUCAGUGUCUUCCCCUUCGUCAACCUCCUCGCAGUAACCUUCUCACCAGUAACCCAAACCCAGAACCGAGAUUUCGAGCAAUAGAGCCGUCAGAUCUCAGUCCCGGAGUGCUUCCCAAAACCACCAGAGGUUUCAACCACCUUAACGGCUUCAGUACUCGGGUUGGCGGUCGUUCCUCCAGUUCCCAGAGCUGGGUCCUCCACGGCCACCGUAGCCGCCACCACCACCGCCUCCGUAGCCUCCACCACGGCUUCCUCCAUAACCACUACCUUCACGGUCACCUCCUCCACGGCUUCCACCGUAACCUCCUCC